rnacentral:lncRNA from 1 species
AGUGAGGUCUACUACACCGUGGAGAUGUCGAAAGUUGUAAUCAGCCUGUCAUUUGGUUUGUUUUGGCUCCGUGGUGACGAAUAAUGGCUGGAAACGCAGGAUAUUCCCCGCUUGACGAUUCCGUGUAGGGCGUGAAUAAUUGCUACCAGAUUUUAUUCUUUUCGUGCUGUAUCUAGUUUGGUGGUUCACCGUUGAUCAUCUUUUGAUGUCCAUGCAUCAAGUAAUUCAUAAACUUUUGAAUUGGUACCAACUUUUGGAUGUUGCAUAUGUGUUGUUUGCUUCCUUUGUCUCAGGAACAUAAGCGCUUACAGUGUUACAGAGUUUACGUCGUCGGCACAGCUUAGCGCACCCUCCCAUCGCUCACCGCUCGCGUUGCCUGCCAAUACAGAGGCAAGGGGGAAAGCGGUGGACUGGGCUUGUUGUCGGCGUUAGACGAAGAGGAAAGCAGUCGAAUGCACGCCGCGGAGCACGAAGAUGAACGUCAUUACGUGCACUUUUAACUGAAAUCGCCGUAAAUACCUAGCGACGUUUCAAUCCAGAUGAUCUCCGAUCUUGUCCUUUCUUAGACGAAUAAGAUCUUGUCGUUUGGUACCAUAGGGCAUUCUAGAGUACACUUAUAUUCCUAGCGCGAGAUAUCUCAAUUUCCGAUUCAUUUCAGCACCCUCUACUCCACUUCCUCUCAUCAUCAAAGUCUCCAUGUAAAUCGUAUGGUCCCCACCUCGUUGCUCGCACAGCCAAUGGCAUUGCAAGUUGCAGGCCGCGAGAUAAGCUUUCAAACCUCGAUCGCACACUCGCCGCACAAGAUAAGCUAGCCACAUCGUUCAUUCUAGAAACUCAGGGAGGGCAUUGCAUUACACACUCGCGCACCUCACAACACCCCUCCAUCCACCUUUUGCCAGCGUGAGAGCUUCUUCUUUCUUGCGAGGGAGAGGUCAGCGAGCAACCAGGGAGCUAGGCGUCAAUGGCGACCAUAGCCACGAUGACCAUGCUCAAGCCCGCCAAGAUCACGGCCAGGUCGGCGCCUUCCUCGCCGUCGUUCAGCGCCAAGGUGGCGUCGCCGAGCAUCUCGCUGCGCAGCCUGCAGAAGAACGCGGCCAAGAAGGGAGCCCUGGCCGUGUCGCCGGCGGCCGCGGCCAUGGCGAGCGCCUUCUUCACCUCGCUGGCCUCGUCGGACGCCGCGAUGGCGUCGCAGCGGAUCGCGGACGUGGCGGCGGUGGCGCCCGCGGACGACAACCGGGGCCUGCUGCUGCUCUUCGUGGUGGCGCCCGCGCUCGGGUGGGUGCUCUACAACAUCCUCCAGCCGGCGCUGAACCAGCUCAAUAAGAUGCGGUCCGAGAAGGCGCUCGUCGCCGGGCUCGGCAUCAGCGCCGCCGCGGCCGCCGGCCUGGCCGCCGCGCCGGAGCCGGCCUCCGCCGCCGUGCAGGAGCUCGCCGCGCUGGCGGCGGUAGCGCCCGCCGACGACAACCGGGGCCUGCUGCUGCUCUUCGUGGUGGCGCCCGCCCUCGGAUGGGUGCUCUACAACAUCCUGCAGCCGGCGCUGAACCAGCUCAACAAAAUGCGGUCCAACUGAGCGUCGUCGUCGUCGUGGCAUCGCAUGCGGUCCGGCCGAGUGGGUUCGUAUGUGUGUGUUCGUCUAUUAAGAGUCGUGGUAGUAGCGUGGAACGUGGUGUGAGUGCCUGCUUGCAUACUCUCUAAUCUUGUUCCUUCCAUUGAUCAAAUGCAGUACAGCUCUUCUUGUUUUCUCUUCUGCUACGUUCAGUCCAAUGUUCUCUUCUGCUACGUUGCAUGCUGGAUUGGGUUUCUAGGGCAACUCUAAUCAAUCCUGUAAAAAUAAAGGAGGAUCCUUAGCCAAGUGUUUUUUUUUUACUUCAGAUUUGGCCGGUCCGAGCCGAUCGGCAAUAUAUAACGGAGUUACUUUUCUGGUUUAUGCAUUUCGUGGAACAGUAAUGCUACACGUACAAAUGAGUUACGGAGUUUUACAAAGAAAGUUAAUUUGAUGGGUCAAUAGAUAGGGAGGCGGUCCACCCCUCCUGAAAAUCAGGAGGAAGCAAGUUUGUGAUUGGUUAGUAGAUGAAAAAAGUUCGUAAACUCAUGUAUUUGUUUGUAUGUCUAUCAUUUUUUUUCGUGGAACACCGUCAUGUGUGUCCGCGGCGAUGCUGACCAUGCCGAAAACGCCGGCGUCCGCCAUCGUGCUCAUGCUCGGCGAGGAUGGAGGGCUGCGUUGGGGUCGUUGUAGGGCCACCCAUAGAAGUCCUCGGCCAUCGCCCAUGCACGUCUUCCUAGCCGCAUUCCUGCCGGCCUCCGCGGUGGUUCUGUACCUCGUGAUGUAGCCGCGCUCCGUGUACCUCGUCGACUACGCUUGCUUCCACACCAAGCCCAGCCACUGCGUCCCCUUCGGCACAUUCCUCGAGCACGCCAAGCUUGUCACCUUCAUUGAGGGGGGCUCCAUGACGAGCGCAGCGUCCGUUUCAUGACGUGGCUGCCGGAGCGGUCCGGGCUCAGGAAAGAGAUGUGCCUGUCCCCGGCGCACCACUUCAUCCCGCCGUACCGGAACUUGGGAGGCCUCACGCGAGGAGGUGGAGCUCGUCAUCUUCUCCGCCAUUGACGAUCUGCCCCGACGCCAUUGACUUCCUCAUUGUCAACUGCAGCCUCUUCGCGCCCAUCCAUUCUUCACCAACAUGAUCAUCCACAAGUACAAGAUGCGCAGUGACAUCUCCAAGGUGCACCUCUCCGGGAUGGGGUGCAACGCGGGGGUGGUCGUUAGGUCGAGUUCGUCGUCCAUGAGGUCACCGGCGAGGUCGCUGACGAGGCCGGAGGUCGCCACCGUCGAUAAGGGAGCUUCACGCUAGUCGCCGGCCGGCCACAAGAAGACCUUUACGUGAAGAGAAUUUAUCCUCGGCCGCCGUCAGACGAAGUAUAUUUAAGGAUUUGAUAGGUGUAAGAAAAGAAAACCGACUAGAUGCGGUAUAAGAAAGGAAAACCAAAUUUAUCUUCCCUUACGACCGGAUAGAUCGAUUUGAAUUACCCUUACGAGGUGCUUUGACUAUAGGCACGACGUGCCAAGAAACUUUCGAAAGCCUGGGCAAACCGCAAGUCACAGAGUGUCUAGGAUGUCAUCUUUUUCUUGCAAACCGCUAAUAUUCCGUAUAUUGCUAGAGGUUUCAUUAUUGCUCCAGCAGAGUUUAGCCGUUUGUGGCACCAGAUCUGUGGUUUGGCUUCGAGCACUCUUCUCCCCUCACUGUACUACACGGUCCAUGCUAUACUAGUACCGUCCCUGCAUCACAGGGCAGAGACACUGGACACAUGAAACUAAAAGAUCGGCACUUUCGAGGAAAAUCGAUCGCCGUGACACAGUAGUACACGCUAGUGGAUUAGUCAAGGUCAAAGGUAUUCGCGUUGCACUGUGUGCGUCUCGGCUUUUGCAUCGCUCGCUAGCCCGCGCGUGUCAGCCGUCCAGUGAGGCCCAUUUUCCCGUCCUCCUCCAUCUCCUCAAAACUGUCAGGUCCGGUUUGACACAUGCCAAGCCGCAGCUCUCGUGAACAAGACGGUGGCCAAGCCUUCAGCUUUCUUUCUCUCCUUUUUAUCAGCUAUCCUUCUUUCUUCUAUCAGGGGUGAAAUGGUAAACUGACCUUACGACACCUUUAACACUGACCAGCAAAUUUGCUUCCACAUCCAUCCACGACAAGGAGGCCUGUUGUUCGCACACGAGCACGUCACCAUGUACCUUCAACGUCAAGGGUGAUGCACCGCAACUCACGUCGAAGGAGAAGGAGAACCGUUCGGAAGCACGAUACGCAAGCAAUCUGGCGGGUGCUUUUCGAGUCCCGAAACCCACAUGCCCGAGAAGGACACCGUGUGGACGCGCGGCGGCUAUGAGCUGCCCUAGGUCGGUUUGCUCACCCCUAGAGCCUCUCUGAAGAACUAACGAAGAACGAGAGAGAAGGAACAAGAGAGAUGUGUAGAAAACUAGGGUAAAAAGUAGAUGGGUUUUGUUGAUUAACCUCUGUCUAUAUAAAGGCGGAUGGACUUUCCGUACAAGAAAAGGACUUGUCUUGCCAUGCAAAUCAUCAAAACCUAACAAAACGCGACCAAGCCCAUAUUUUUUACAGCAGCACAUUGAUAGGGUUGUAACUGUUGCAUAUGACUUUGUAUUAAGAUGAUAUUUAUAUCAAAAUCAACCGAUUCAAUGAGAGGCACAAUUUUGCUGUUGAACACUUUUUGAUCUGAGGCCAUCUUGAGGGGGUUAUCGGGCUGUUUUCUAAAGUCUGCACCAGAAAAAGUUGUCUAGACAUUCGGACUCUUGCUCGGAUCGUCCGGGCUCUACCCGGAUCAUCCUAGAUUCCUCCCAGAUCAUCCGGCUUCGUGGCAAACCUUCUGUCGUCUGGGUCACUCGUCCGGCCUCCUGCUGGAUGAUCCGGCCAUUCACCAUUGGAUCAUGCAGUUUUGCCUGUAACUUUUGCAUAUGACCUCGGAUUAAGAAGAUUUUUUAUAAAAAAAUCAUCUAGUUCAACGAGACGAAGAACUUUGUUGUUGAAACUUAUUUCAUCUAAGGCCAUCUUAAUUGAGUUUUUGGCCAUGAAAAAAAUCUGGCUGCAACACAUGCCCCCUGUUUUUUGGCAAAGCUAGCGUGCCAAAAAAUAUUUUGCACCGUGUUUUCUCUAAGGACGAUGUCGACACUCAAUCGACCAUUUAUAUGGUUAGGGUGAUAAUUAUAUAUCGGCCAUCUUUAUGCUUAGGGCGAUAAUUCUAUAACGUACAUUGAUUUUAACUUCUUGUUUACAUCAUACCUUGGAACCGAUUACCACCAAUCAGCUUUAAAGAUAUGGGAACGAACCCGUUCCUUGUAGCACUAAGGAAAUCAAACUCCGAGAGGUCACACCCUCUUAAGCAAGUAGCAUCGGGAUGAUUCCAAUCCACCGAUGCAUCAGCCAAAGCAACAUCAGCUGAAUUAUCCGCGUGAAUGACUUCUACUUCAUCAUCGACCCAUUGCAUUAAGAAUUGAUGCAUGGUAGAUGGCAUACAUUGGUUAACAUGAACCCAAUCGCGGCCUAAUAUAACAUUAUAGUUACCUUGCACCUCGGCAAUGAAAAAUGUGGUGGCCAAAGUUUUGCUUCCCACAGUGAGUUCCAUGCACAUCACACCUUUGGCUUUUGUCUUUUCUUUACCCUCAAAUCCAUUAAGUAUCAUAUUGAUCUUAAUGCAUCAUUAUGUAACCUCAACUUCUUGAAGACCAAAUAGGGCAUAAGAUUUACCACAACACCACCAUCAAUGAGCAUCCUAGCAAUCAGCGAUCCGUUAAUAUGACCUUUGAGGUACAAUGGCUUCAAGUGUUUCACCAGUUCUUUUGGCUUCUCGAAGAUAGCGUUCUUAGGGCCAUAAUCCAGCUAGGCUCCUCCCCUUCUUCACCUAUAGCACGAAACUCAGCGGGUAAGUAAUACACCAUAUUAGUAUCCAUACCUUCCCGAACAGGCGUAGAUUCAUAAUCCACCAUCUCAUCUUCAUCUCCCAAUGUGUAUAUUGGACUUAAAGUUUCCUGAAUUGAAGGGGAUGUUUCAGGUGGCGUGGACGAUGUAAUAUGGGUAGCAUCAUCCUCUUUUGGUGGUGUAGGUGUUGAUGUAGCUAAUGUAGAAGCAUAUGCGUUUCCUUAUUGUUUAGGCCUCCACACUUGUUUUGUGAGUGCCAUGGGCCGAUUUUUAUUGAACAAUUCGACACUUUGCUUCUCUUCUUUGCGCUCUACCUUCUCGUGGUUCCUCAUGCGAUCUCCUUUUCUUGGUCUUAGUUAAACCGGGAGGACACCACUUAGGUUAAGUAUAUUUGGGAUCCCUAGGUUUGGCCUUGCUGUGCUAGCCUCAUGAUCAUUAGCCAUGGAACCCUGCUGAACAAUAAGAAUAUCACCAUUAGAAUUAGUCAGAUUACCAACAAUCGGCUCUUUGAUCUCCUUUUGCUUGUCACAUUCUGAAAUUUCCGCAUGAGAUGACUUAACACGCCAUACUUUUGUUUUGACCUUGCAUGGAGAAAUUUUUGUUGGCUGAUUAGCACCAUGGCUCGAACGACCUUGUGUGCGAUAAUAAAGCCUCUCAUGAGCAGGCCUUCUAGGUGAUGCCCAUCCCAUAUGAAAAGCAUAAGGAGCCAUUGGGGGCUGCCACCAACCUCCAUUGAAGUCUCCCAUGUAAUUGGCGCAUAGGGGGCGGCAAUAUCCACGGUGUCAGUUCCCAUGACCCAUAUGGCCUUGCAUAACAUUGAAAUUCUUGCUUCGGAGGUGAUCUUGAAUGCUUCUAAGGUGAUGGCCGACUAGAGCUAGAACCGGCCGCUUGAUUGACAUAUUUGGAAAGCAACAUACCAAAAGUUGGCUUGAUUUUCCUGAGCUUAGCUUCACUCUUUUUCCACUUGCCAACUUCUGCAUUCUCAGGCUUGGUAAAUUUAACGAGUAUCCUCUUGUACUUCCAGGAUUUUUAUGGAGAUCUUCAAUACCUCCUACUGUCAUGUUGCUUAUCAAGCACAACCACUCUUCCCAAGACUUUGUCGCCCUCCUUGACUUUUCUGGGUUCACCAAUAACAACAUUGUUUUUAUUAACAGAUUUUGCUAUGUUAGGAUGAAUUAACAUUUUCUUCCCUUCCAUGUCCAUGGUGUUUAUCGGGAAGGGUUGUUUAUCAACUUGCAUCUCAGCAAAAUUCAAUCGCCUGCCAUUAAUGGCCGAUUGUAUCUGUCGUCGAAAAACAUUGCAAUUGUUAGUAGCACGAGAAAAUGAAUUAUGGUACUUGCAAUAAGCACACCAUUUUAGCUCCUCAAACGAUGGUAUGGUGUGUGAUAUUCUAAUCAUCUUAUCUUGCAAGAGAGCAUCAAACAUUUUAUCACACUUGAUAUAUCAAAAGUAAACUUCAUUUUCUCAUCAUGAUUCUUGUGAAUCAGCUUAAGAACAUUGCAUGUAUAGGGUUUGACCUCUGAGGACCAAACAAAUUUAGUAGUAUAGACAUCAACCUCAUCGUCUGAAUUAUCAUCAUUGUAUUCAAUCAUAUGCAUUCUAGGACGAUCGGUUGUAGACCUAUGAACCUCUUUACUUCGACUCUCUUGAGCCAAAGCUUUUUGCAAGACUUGGUUAAUAUUCAGAAACUCAUAACUUUCUAGCCUCACUUUAAUAUGAGUUUUCAAGCCAUUAAGAACAAGAUCCACCAAGUCUCUCUCACUUAUCACUAAGUUAUAACAUCAGUUUUUUAUAUCUCUAAAACUCUUGACAUAAUCGUUGACCCAUUCAUCAUGUUUUUGCCUAACCGAUGUAAGAUGUGACAACUUAAGCUCAUUAUCACCGCUAUAAAAGUGAUCAUGAAACUUUUGCUCUAAUUGCGACCAUAAGAGAAUUGAACCAUGUGGUAAAGUAGCAGGCUAUGAAAAUGCGGUGCCAGUUAAAGAUAAUGGAAAUAAACACACCAAUUCUUCUAUGGAACCUGCUUCACCCAACUGCGCUAGAUACUAACUAACAUGCUCCCAUGUUGUUUUUGUGCCCUCUCCACUAAGUUUAACAAAAUCAAGAACCAUGUAACCUUGAGGGUAGAAAACUACAUCAAAGUGUUCAGUAUAAGGCUUUUGGUAUACAUGACUUUUUUUACUUUUGGAUCGUUUUCAGAAGUUUCUAGAAAUAUCUUAUGCAAAUCCUCCCUUAAUUUAGCUAAAAUUGGAUCCGAGGUCAAUGAAGAUGCUUGUGGCAAUGACAUACGAGCAAUCUGAGUACUAGCUAGUGGUGCAACUUGUGGGAUGGGCGCCGAACCAUAAUUCGGCGAAAGACCAAACAUGCUUGUGCCUAUGGAUGGUGUGACAAAGUGAUUCGGCAUUGACACAAAUUGGGCACACUCAGAAUAGGAUUAGGAUAUGCAGGUGCAGGCCCAAGCUGGUUGGUUUGACUAUGGCAAAGAUUCAAUGACAUAUUAUAUUAUUGUUGCAUAGGAGGUGCUGGUGAAAUAGGUAAACUUGGACUAGGGUUUUUAGAUAUACAAAUAGUACCACUAGAUGACGAAGGCAUAUUUUUCUGAGCAUUAGCACUUGCUACAAAAGAAUUGUAUGUCAUCACAUUACCCUUACUAACAAGACUUUCAAUCAUAGCCAUUUGCUUUGGAGAAAAAGCUUUAUUCAUAGUGAUUUCAUCUUGUUCGUCAAUGAGAGGAGGUAAAUUGACAUUUUCAACCGGAGUGAUCGAAAGGAUCAAUAUGGUUGACUAAAGGGGGGGGGGGGGUGAAUAGGCAACUACCAAUUUUUAGCUUUUCUUAACAAAUUAGGAUUAGCAACAAAUAGGUUGUCUAGAUAUGCAACUAGGUGAAUAACCUAUAUGACACUAGCAACAACAACAACACAAGAAAGCAAGGGAUACAUCACAAAUAAAGCUUGCACAAAGUAAAGGUAAGAAGUAAUCACAAGUGGAGUCGGUGGAGACGCGGAUGUGUUACCAAAGUUCCUUCCCUUUAAGGGGAAGUACGUCUCUGUUUGAGCGGUGUGGAGGGAUAAUGGUCCCCAAGAAGCCACUAGGGCCACCGUAUUCUUGUUGCGCCCUCGCCAAUGCAGGAUGUCGUGAUUCCACUAGUGGUGCCCUUGAAGGCGGCAACCGAACCUUUACAAACAAGGUUGGGGCAAUCUUCACAAUUGAAUUGGAGGCUCCCAACACCACUACAAAGCUUCACCACAUUGGAAUGUGGGUUCAAGGUGACCUAAACCAUCUAGGGUGCUCAAACACCCAAGAGUAACAAGAUCCACAAGGUAGCGAGAGAGACUGAGCAAGAGUGAGUUUUGAGCAACAAUGGAGCUUGGGGGAGGAAGAGGUGAGUCAACUAGAGGAAGAAUACUCACUUAUAUAGUGGGGAAAUGAAUCAAACCGUUAUGCCCCUUCAGGCCGUGCACAAGUGGUAGUACCGCUCGGGUGAGCGGUACUUCUGCUGGUACGGAAGUUUCAGCAGUUGCGUUCAACUAAACAAGUCAGGGAGGCGGUAGUGCCGCCGGAGCGGGACUACUGCUCCCACCAGCGGUACUUGCGCUUAGUGUUGAGCAACAAGAAGAAACAACGGUAGUAGAGGAGGGUAGCGUGGUAGUGCCGCACAUAGCUGGACUACCGCUGGCUACUGCCGCUCUACUUCUGCUCAAAGGACAGAGCAGUCCAGAAGACAAAAACAAGAGGUACUCCCAGUGGUACAAGCACAGAAGCAGUUCCGCCGGGGCUGUACUACCGCUUCCGUGAAAGCGGUACUUCCGUGCUACUAUUAGCAGCCCAGUAAACCUGCGGUAGUGGGGUGCUAGGCACAACCGCAGUACCGCCGGCACGACUGUGCUGAACUACCGCCCUACUACCACUCAUUUACACAGCACCAAGAAUAGGCGGAAGUCCUAGUAGCAUUGAAUUGUGGCAGUACCGCUGAAGCGGUACUACCGUGGUGCAGAGCGGUAGUACCGCUUAUGUGCCUCAAGAAGUCCCAAGCACAAGGGGGGAGAAGCUCCAAAGCUGGAAAGGGAAAGAGGGUGCAAAAAGAUUGUGUACGUGUUGAUUCCACCCAAGCCUAUCCAAAGCCUAACCCGUCUUAAUAGUAUGGUGAUCCUACGACUCAAAUCCACCGAAAAUGAAACGUAAGAAAACAACUGUCUCCACAAUAUCUCCAAGGGGCACGACUCAUCUUGUGCCAUAAGAUAGAUUCUCUGAAAUGCUCAAUGCACACGAUUAGUCUAUAAAAGUAUUGUCAUCAAUCACCAAAAUCACUAAGGGAGAAAUAUGCCCUAACAAUCUCCCCCUUGUGGUGGAUUGAUGACAACACAAGAUUUGCACAAAGAUAGUACAAGAUAAUACGCAAUCCCAACAUCUACAAAAUAUAAGCGGGUCCCCCUAGAUGUGUGCACUAAUUAAGUAUGCCUUUGGAAUGCAAAGCACACACACUAGGAUCAACACUUCCCCUAUAUUUUAUAGACCGGCAACACUUGCAACAACAAUAUAACAUAGAUAAGUAUGGAUGCAAGUAGAUAGCAUGAGAGCAUAAAGAUAGGGCACAAGAUAGAUAACAUCUCACAAGCUAAUAAGGUACUGGACAUAACGAUAUGGAUAGGUUAGCAUAUAUCUCACACCAUAUGACAUGUACUAAAGGUUUCACACAUAAACUAAAGAAAUUCAAACGAGAAAGAGUGCACAAGAGAACGAAAGCAACUACAAAGAAGACACACUCGUGACUCGGCAAAUCCCUAAGCUCUCUCCCCCUUUGGCAUCGAGACACCAAAAGGUCAAAGAGCACUAAACUAGUCAAAGGUGGUAGAGAUGCUCCAGAACAUCAUCAAUACUCCUCGUGCUCAUCAUACUCCUCGUGCUCAUUAGACUCCUCUGUUGCCUUCGGCUGACGCGAGACCUCCGAGUCUGACCACUGGCAAUGUUGCGAGAUCCAUGACUGCUCAUCUGUGAUCCUCUCCUCAAAACCACAAGCAACCUACAGACCCAGGCGCCUCAUCAUGAUCUUGUCACGCGUGCGAGCCUUCUUCUCAGCCACGUGAGCCCUGUACUGUCCCUUAGCCUGUAUGCAGAAGAGCUUCUUCAUCUUUGACUUGAGCUUGGAUGCCCAAGAUGGUUCCUUGUCAGGAGAAGGAACAAACUCAUAGUCUGGCUCAAGCUCAACAUUAGAGUCGCGCGGGCAAUCUCCUUGUUGGGGGCAGCAAGUGCAGUGCCCCAGUUAUCCUUUUGGCACAAGUUUAGUAUGCCAUGGGACACCAUAUUCUCAGUGGGAAGGGACUCCCCUGGAAAUUCAGCAGCCCAAGUCUCCUCAAUCAACUUAAUCAUGUAGGGUCCAUAGAUAGGCACCUUUCGGUCAAGCACAACAUACCGAAGCUCACGCCACAUGAGGUGGGAGAUGUCCAAGGUGAGGUCCUUCUAGAGCUUAGGGAUUUGCUGAGUCACGAGUGUGUCUUCUUUGUCGUUGCUUUCGUUCUCUCGUGUACUCUUUCUCAUUUGAUUUGCUUUAGUUUAUGUGUGGAACCUUUAGCACCUAUCAUAUGGUGUGAGCCAUAUGCUACCCUAUCCUUAUCAUUAUGUCAAGUACCUUAUCAGCUUGUAAGAUGUUAUCUAUCUUGUGCCCUCUCUUUAUGCUCUCAUGCUAUCUACUUGCAUCCAUACUCAUCUAUCUUAUAUUGUUGUUGCAAGUGUUGUCAGUCUAUAAAAUAUAGGGGGAGUGUUGAUCCUAAUGUGUGUGCUUUGCAUUCCAAAGGCAUACUUAAUUAGUGCACACAUCUAGGGGGAGUCCAUCUAUAUUUUGUAGAUGUUGGAUUGCAUAUUAAAACGAAAGGAGGGCAAGUGGCUAUAUCUCCUUGGUUUGUUUCACUUGGAGUUGAUCAUGAGACUCCUUGAGAGAGGCAUGAACACCCUUCAAGACCUUGUGAGCCUUGUCAAGUAUGUAAAACUCAUCCUUGAGUCUAUCAUGGCCCACCCCAGGUGCAACCUUCUCGGAUUUAAGCACACGAGUAAGAACAAGAGCAUGCUCAUGAUCUUUCCUUAGUUUAGCAAUAUCAUCGUUGUGUGACUCCUCAAGAGCCAAAUGAAGACCUCGCUCUUCCUCAAGAGCAAUGGAAAGAUCCGCAAUUUAAUCGGCAUAGUCAUGGUUAUGCCCUUCUAACUUAGAGAUGGUAUCCUCAUCAGACUCAAUGAUAUUAUUGGCCUCACCAAGUUGUUCCAAGAGAGCAACAAAGUGCUUCUUGGUCUCACCUUUGAGCUUACCCAAGAACUUGUCAAACUCAUUUUCAUCCACCCUUACCUCCUCAUUUUAUACACAAAAUGCAACAAAGAAGGAUUAGUAGUGAUGGAAGUUUUGAUGUUGGAGGUUACCUUCUUAAUGCCUUUAGUCGUAAGGCACUAGGGGAUGAUGUUCUCAUUGGUGGCAUCGAAGAGUGACACCUUGUUGGGGAAGAGGUGGCAAUGGCCACAUUGGCUAUUGCCAUUCCUUCACCGCUUGCAGAAAGGUACUCUUCUUGUGCCACCAACCCCUUUUGAGCCACCUUCUUGGUGAAGUUGUUCUUGGUGGGGAAGGUCUUGGCCUUGUGUUUGUAGAUAAGCUUGCCACCAUUGUCUUCCCUCUUCUCAUAGGGGCAAUUCACCAUAAAGUGACUCACAUUGCCACAUCUGUAGCAAGUUCUCACACGUUUCUUGCCCUUCGAGGCACUUGAGUUGUUCUAGGAGAAAUUGGGCUUGGUGUUUCUUUGGUUGCCUAAAAAUUGCCUUUACACAAGAGCCAUGUGCUAGUGGUAAGCAUAUUUGGUGUCUUCAGGGAAACUCUCCUCUUCUUCCUCUUCUUCUCCUUCCGAAAUGGGCUUGACCUUCAAACCAAGGUUGUGCUUCUUUGACCGUUGAACACGAGCUAGAGCAUUGUCGGAGGUCUUGUUCAUGAUUUUCAUGGCAAUAACUCAUCCAACACAUCGCUUAAAGACAAGGUCUGGAAGUCCAUCUUUGACAGAUCGCGGAGGACAUGGCCUUGUUGAAUGGCAUGAUGGCCUUGAGAAACUUGCGCUUGAUCCAAUUAUCAUCCGUAUCCUUGCUCCCAUGAUCCUGAAGAGGGACCGCGAGAGUUUUCAAUCUCUGGUAGAGGUCACGAGGAUCCUCAUCUUCAUUCAUCACAAACUCAUCGACCUCAUCAAGAACCACCACAAAGUUGGACCAAUGAAUGCUUGAGCUUCCCUUGUACAAGGAGUCAAUAUAUUCCCAACAAUCAUUUGCAUGAGAGAAGGGGCACAAGUGAGCUAGGUCUUCGGGAGGCACUGCAGAUUGAAGGAUGAACAAGGCGGAGUGAUUUUAUUGAUUGUCCGCCUCUUCUCUUGGGGUGAUGUUGUUUGGAUCAUGCGGGUAGUAUCCUUGCUUAAUGAUUCUCCAGAGAUUUGUUGAGCUCCGAUUCAAAUGAGACUUGAUGCAAAAAACCCAAUUAGAAAAAAUAUUCUUCACAAGAUUAACGGGACGACUAAGGUUGUUAAUAUGAGGUGUGGGGACCGGUCCUCCAUAGACCAGGGGAGGAGGAUCGAGGCAUGAGUUCCCGUCCCAUUCUUACCAUGAGGGUAAGAGGUAUGAGUACCUUUCACCGCUUCCUUAGUGGAAUUGGCCUCGGACACCGCACGAUGGGAUUAACCACUUGCAACAGAUUAGGAGAAGAUUUCAACCCCUCAAGUAGUUCUUUAAUCAUGGACUUGACCUCGGCCAUUAUAGACAUCUUAAGUGAAGCCAUAGCUUAGUUUAAGUCGUCAUGGGUGGUCGAGUUCAACUCCAUGGCCUCGGGUACUUCCUCAUCCCUAUCCCGGCCGUCAACCAUACUCUUCGGGUGGUGAAACCCUUAAUAAAGAGACGAGGCUCUGAUACCAAUUGAAAGGAUAGGUAUGGUUGACUAGAGGGGGGAUGAAUAGGCAACUACAUUUUUUAGAUUUUCUUAAAAAAAUAGGUUUAGCAACAAAUAGGUUGCUUAGAUAUGCAACUAGGUGAACAACCUAUAUGAUGCUAGCAACAAUAACAACAACACAAGCAAGGGAUACAACACAAAUAAAGCUUGCACAAAGUAAAGGUAAGAAGUAACCACAAGUGGAGUUGGUGGAGACGAGGAUGUGUUACCGAAGUUCCUUCCCUUUGAGGGGAAGUACGUCUCCGUUUGAGCGGUGUGGAGGCACACUGCUCCCCAAGAAGCCACUAGGACCACCGUAGUAUCCUCAUGCCCUCGUCCCCUCACACAAUGCAAGAUGUCGUGAUUCCACUAGUGGUGCCCUUGAAGGCGGCAACUGGACCUUUACAAACAAGAUUGGGGCAAUUUCCACAACUGAAUUGGAGGCUCCCAACACCACCACGAAGCUUCACCACAAUGGAAUGUGGCUCCGAGAUGAUCUCAACCGUCUAGGGUACUCAAACACCCAGGAGUAAUAAGAUCCGCAAGGGAUUAGUGGGAGGAAUCAAAUUUCUCUCGGUGGAAGUGUAGAUCUAGACUUCUCAACCAAUCCCUAAGAAAUCAUCAAGUUUAAUUGGCUAGGGAGAGAGAUCAGGAAAGAAUGAGAUUUUGAGCAACAAUGGAGCUUGGGGGAGGAAGAGGUGAGUCAACUAGAGGAAGACGACUCACUUAUAUAGUGGGGAAAGAGGUGAGUCAACCUCAUGCCGUACUUAUCCUGACUCGGGGUGUCAUCCACGUGAUGAGCGUGGAGCCCCACGGCUGGCGCCAUACGACCUGCCUCGUGAGGCAACUCCCUGGCAGGGCUCUGCCUAACGGCAAGGGGCCUCACGAGGCGACUCGCUGCAGAGCAGCCGAAGCAGGGACACCUAUCAUGGACCGGACCAAGUGUCAUCCUUUAGGCCUGAGGCAGACGGGUUGUGGUACCUUGGUUCCCACUGGGACGACAGUAGCCCUAGGGCCCACGGCCUGCAUGUUUCGCCUGUUGGGGGCGAAGCGACAUGGGGCCCAUCAAGAUGCCGGGCCUAGAGGCGACGCGUGGUGGCUUUUACGGGGUGGGACACCCCCACUACCCACGAUGCCUCAGUAACCGCCAUCCUGGGGAUAAAGGCUGCCCGCACAGGGCGCAGAGACAUCAUUUCCCCCUCGUCUCCGUCUCACCCUUCAUCUUGCACGCGAGAAGCUCCCUUGUUCCUCUUCCUCCAGCUCCCAAUCUUUCCCUGCCGCCAUGGCCUCCUAUAAGAAGCUUGUGACUGCUGAGGUUUCCUCCAACAAGAGUGCCCGGCGACGGAGCUUGGUCCGGCCUUGCUGCCGUCUACUAUCACUGACGAGGGCGGGAUGGCCAGGGCGGGCCACUUGGUGGCCACCGAUCACCAUGAGGGAGGGGCCAUCGAGAUCUAUUGGCUUGCACCCGCGAUGUGACCUGGGCCCCACAGUGAUUCCCAUCUUCUUCCACUCGCUCUUCGCCAGAUUAGUAUCACCCUCCUCUGAUUUCCUCCUCGCCAUCCUAGAGCAUUAUGAGAUCUGUCUGCUCCACCUUCAUCCCAACUCCAUUCCUGUCCUUGCCGUCUUCGCAUACUCAGCGAGGCCUUCCUGGGAGUGAUGCCAUCCGUGCCACUCUUUCGGACCUUUUACAGCCUGUAGAUUCACUCCUCGGGGAACCACCGCUUGGGCAGCGCCUCCUUCCGCAUCGACAAUGAGACGAGCAAGUUCCUCAUCGACAUGAGGACUUUGGAGUAGGUGGAGAACUUCGGGUUGAGCUGGGUGUAUGUCGAUGCCAAGCGGGCCAGCCCUCUAUUCGCGACCCCUACCAAACCGGCCGAGAAGUCCCCUCACUGGGAGCACAAGGAGCUCAGUCGCACCAUUCUGGGACCGAUCUUGGAGGGGCUGGAGGAGCUGCAGAUGGCCGGGCUCACGGUGGUCAUGCGUAACACCCCGAGAAUCAUGCUACAGUAAUCUCCCACUAAUGGUGCCAUGUCAUCAAGUUAGACUAAGCCAAAUUGCUCCUUCAUAAAUCAAAGCCAAAUUCAAAUUUUAAAAUAAAGUCAAAUAAAUUAUUUCUUCAAAGACUAAAACUAAAAUGUUCGAUUUAUUCUACAAAUUCUCCUGAUCUUUGUCAUGUUGAAACUAACUUAAUUUAACUCACAAAUAAAUUCCUAGGAAUUCAAUAUGUGGUCCAAAGGCAUUUAAUUUGGCCUUUUCAAAAUAAACAAAAAUUUCAACAUUUACCCGGUGAGGCCCCAGCCGGUUAGGUUUAGUGGGGGAAAAACCCCCAUUAGCAAUUAACCAUGGUUAAAUAUCCUAAACCCCCCGUUAAAAAGCCCUUGUUCUAAACGUGUGUCUAUGAGAUAUGGGACCAUCCUCUCUUUUUAACCCAAUUACAAAUUAAUUAUAACCUGUUAACAGGUUGAGUCAAUGAUAGUUGGGUCCCACUAGACCCAGUUGACUAGUCAACGCUGACCAGUCAACUGCUGACUUGGCAGUUGACUGGGCCCACCUGUCUUUCCCUCUUGCUAUGUAUCGAGUGGGUACACAUAGCCUUUUACUGUUUAGAUUUGAAAUAUUAUAUAAAUCCAAAAAUUCCAGAAAAUCAUUAAAACUUAGAAAAUCAUAUAAAAUAAUCCUAACUCGAAUGAAAAUACUUUAUACAUGAAAAUUCUUCAGAAAAAUAAGACGAAUCUGAAUAUGCUAUCCACAUGCCUGUCACAUGCCUCCAACACAACAAACAUGGAACCUCCCCUCCAGUUCAUCUGUCCAGAAAAUGCCAAACGUCGGGAAAACAUUCCCAGAUGUUUUCCCGCUUCGUCUGUAUCGUGUAGCACUGCAUUAGGUCACCCUUAGCACUGCAUAUUGUCAUGUCAUGCAUCAUGAUGCAUCUGUUUGCUUUACAUUUAUUGUCUCUUCCCCCUCUUCUCUCUGGUAGACACCGAGAAUGACGCUGCUGCCAUGUACGGCUACACCCCUGAUGUUCAACCCCUUGAAGAACAGCUUCUAGGCAAGCAAAACCACCUUGAUUAUUUCUAUAUCGCCCAUUUCCUUCUCCCUCAUGCUUGCAUUAGAAUUUGCUAUUGUAUUUGAUUGAUCCUAUUCUGAUGCAUAGCCUGAUUUUGUAACAUGAUAUUGUUACUACCUGCUUAUCCUAUAUGCUUAGUAUAGGUUGGUUAGUGAUCCACCAGUGACCCCUCACCUUGUCCAUGUUGCCCCCUCUUUCUCAUCGAUGACUCGAUCAAUGUGAUCGAUGUCCAGAGCCCGACACAUCACCUCACACCCCCUUAGUUAUAAGACUCUACAGAGCUACCAUCGAGUGCCGAGGGUGAUACCUCAUAUAGCAGUUCUUAUGAGAUCUCUGUAGUGUAGCUAAUUGGUCGUGGAUAACGGAGGGUGAUUCCUCCUUCACCACUCCCGAUAAUGACUCUGUCGUGCAACACCUCAUGUGUGAACCCUCGAGGGUGAUUCCUCCAAGUUCACUUGACGGUUACAUCAAGUGGAAUCCAUCGAGGGUGAUUCCUCGGAUUCCCCCUUGGUGUUAUGGACAUACGGUUACUUUGACUUUACCCCAGGGCCAUGAUGAAGUCGGGUCGGCCACGAGGGGUACCCGAGAGAGAAAUGUGAAGUCGGAUUGACCAUCAGGGUACCCAUGAAUGAUGUGGAGUUGGGUUGACCUGGAGGGUACCUGCAAGAUAAAUACACGGCAUGGCCAAGCAUUCCUAGCCCUUGCCGUUAGUCCGUGAGACGGGACCACAGAUCAUGGAUCAUUGAUCGUCUCCGCGUGCUCCCAAGACACUAACUGUUUGGAUAUGUGACCUGAGUAGGCAUCUGGCCUUUUUGCACUAACCACCAUGCAGGAAUAAGUAUGGGCACUCUGUGUUGUACGAUUCCUUCGAGGGUCCACUGACGUUAGUAGUUGAGCAGUAUGCGCCCGGGUGGUCCGUGUAAGCACCCGCUUUGUAUAAAGAGGUAGUUAGGACUGAUCCUGACCGUCCUUGCAAUGCGCAGGAUUGCAAAGGAGAUUGGCCCAUGACCCCUUCGCAAUUAGGAUGUAGACCAGCGUGAUGGCCUCUCUGUUUAGCCUAGGUAGGACUACAACAUGUCGAUCAGCCGAGGCCGACCAUGACCUAGGAAAGUGUGUUCGACCCCUAGAAAAGUGCGUUCAGCCGGACUUACUCGAGCGUGUUGGGUAAGUUUGUGCACCCCUAUAGGGAAUUUAAUCUAUUUGAAUAGCCGUGUCCACGGUAACGACCGCUCGGAGUUGUAUCCCGAUCUUACAACUAGAACUGGAUACUAGAGACACGAAAUGGGUAUGAUGGCUUCGGGACUGCUUUCUCGCAGGGAGUCGAGAAAGGAUCUCUAGGCAUUACUACAACAUAGUUGCUAUUUAUAAUAUGCUAAUCCACACUCUUCUAAUGCUGCAAUAUGCUUCAAGAUGCUAGUCUUCGAUAGGCUAGGCCUUUCCUUCUAUUUUGCCAUUUUUGCAGUUAAGUCCAAAGAAAUAGCCCCAUUCCUUUAACACUAAUGCUUAUUUAGUAUAGAUCUGAUGUAAGUCUUGCGAGUACUUUGGAUGAGUACUCACGAUUACGUUGCUACCCCUUUUCCCUUCCGCCCGAUUGCUGCGAUCAGAUGACGGAUCCCAGGAGCCAGCCGACACUGCCGACGACCACUACUAUCCCGACGGAGCCUACAACUACGUGGAGACCGCCAAUGACCAGGAGUAGUUAGGAGGCUCCCAGGCAGGAGGCCUUGCCUUUUCGAUCGUUGUUGUUGUUUAUGCUAGCUUUCUUAAGGCAGACUUGUUUAAUUAUGUCUGUACUCAGAUAUUGUUGCUUUUGCCGACUGGUUUGUAUUCGAGCUUAUGUAUUCGAGCCCUCGAGGCCCCUGGCUUGUAAUAUAAAGCUUGUAGGACUUUAAUUUGUGUUUUGAGUUGUGUUGUGAUAUCUUCCUGUUAGUCUCUGAUCUUGAUCAAGCACAUUUGCGCGUAUGAUUAGUGCAUGAUUAAGUCGGGGCCUCACAAGUUGGUAUCAGAGACAACUGCCUUUAGGAAGCCCCUUUCCUACUCCUUGGCCGGAGUUGAGUCUAGUCUUUGAAAAACUAUUUUUACUAACAUUUUUGUAUGGCUUACGGGCCCACAUCACAAAUGGGUGGUAUUAGGAUAUUUUAUUCCUCAUCUUUACUCUGGGAUUCUGAUCUCUCUUCUAUUUGGGUUAAAGAUUUGGCAGCUCUAACUUUAGGUUCUCGUAACUACUUUCUCCCGGAGAGCCCCUCAUUCCAAACGAUGGCUUGAUUCACCAGAAGAUUCUGAAGAUACUCUUUGAUGUUUUCCCGAGACCCCUGUGCCCACAACCUUUGCAAUUCCCUACCACCGAUAUAUCCUUAUGGAUAACUACUUACACCUCUCAUUCAUACAUCAUUUCCAGUUGCUCUUGAUAUUACAAGAUACCCCGAAAUUCUCUUUGUUGUUCCGAGAAUACUUUGUGCCUACUGCCUCGCCGUUCCUUGUUGCUUAAAUAUACUUAUGAAUAAUUACUCACCCGUUCAUCCCCACUUGUUCAUGUGUUUGACAAAAUACUUAUAGUUCAAAUGAGUUUUGGAUUUGCUAGAAUUGAAAAACAAAGUAUCUCAACGUUUUGCAGGCAAUCAACAGCACCCUUUUGUUUGAAAUUUAUUCCCAUUUCUUGCAUGGGACCUAAGCAUGCACCCAAGGACAAAGAUUUGAUUUUUCAACCAAUUUAUAUGCACUGGAGCAUGUGCAUGUAGUUCAAAUUUGAAUUAUGCACAUAAAAUGCCUAGAAAACCCAGUUAAUGUAUAAAAUGUCCAAACGAACCCUGAAAAAUUGCAAAAUUUAACACAACACUCUUGUUCUUCUAUGUUGACACUAGAAACAUUUUGAAAGCAAUAAGAGGCAGCGGAUAUCAUUUCGUCCCCGAAGAUGGGACGUUCCCUACCAAAACCAUCAGGUUUAUCGGCAUGUUGAUGCCGCUCCAUGAUAGCAUGCUAUGUUUCAUGAAUUUCAGACGAGUAAGAUUUGCUAGAAUUUAAAAACCAAGAAUCUCAAUGUUUGCGGCCGAGUGACGGUGGCGGGGUGUUUGACAUUCAUUCCCAUUUCUUGCAUGGGACCUAAGCAUGCAACCAAGGACACAGAUUUGAAUUUUCAACCAAUUUAUAUGCAUUAGAGCAUGUGCAUGUAGUUCAAAUUUGAAUUAUGCACACAAAUGCAUCGAAAACUUAAUUAAUGCAUAAAAUGUACAAACGAACCCCAAAAAAUCCCAAAAAUUGACACAACACUCCUGUUGUUCUAUGUUGAAACUAGAAAAAAUUUGAAAGCAAUAAGAGGCAGGUGACAUCAUUUCGUCCCCAAAGGUGGGACGUUCCCUACCAAAACCAUCAGGCUUGUUGUGAGAAGCUUAUACCCAAACCUGCCCCAAAUGGGACAAAAAAUUUACUACGGCAUGUUGAUGCCGCUCCAUGAUAGCAUGCCAAGUUUCAUGAAUUUCAGAUGAGUUUUGGAUUUACUAGAAUUUAAAAACCAGGAAUCUCAAUGUUUGCGACCGAGUGAUGGUGGCAGAGGUGUUUGACAUUCAUUCCCAUUUCUUGCAUGGGACCUAAGCAUGAAACCAAGGACACACAUUUAAAUUUCCAACCAAUUUAUAUGCAUUAGAGCAUGUGCAUAUAGUUCAAAUUUGAAUUAUGCACAUAAAUGAAUUGAAAACUCAAUUAAUGCAUAACAAUGUCCAAACGAACCCCGAUAAAUCCCAAAAAUUGACACAACACUCCUGUUGUUCUAUGUUGACACUAGGAAAUUAGUGAAAGCAAUAAGAGGUAGCGGAUAUCGUUUCGUCCCCAAAGGUGGGACGUUCCCUACCGAAACCAUCAGGCUUGUUGUGAGAAUCUUUGGUUUGUGAGAAGCAUAUCCCCAAACCUGCCCCAAAUGGGACAAAAAAUUUACCAUGGCAUGUUGAUGCUGCUCCAUGAUAGCAUGCCAAGUUUCAUGAAUUUUAGACGAGUUUUGGAUUUACUAGAAUUUAAAAACCAAGAAUCUCAAUGUUUGCAGCCGAGUGACGGUGGCAGGGUGUUUGACAUUCAUUCCCAUUUCUUGCAUGGGACCUAAGCUUGCAACCAAGGACCCCAAUUUACAUGCAUUAGAGCAUGUGCAUGUAGUUCAAAUUUGAAUUAUGCUCAUAAAUGCAUUGAAAAUUCAAUUAAUGCAUACAAAUGUCAAAACAAACCCCGAAAAAUCCCAAAAAUUGACAAAACACUCCUGUUGUUCUAUGUUGACACGAGAAUUUUUUUGAAAGCAAUAAGAGGCAAUGGAUAUCGUUUCGUCCCCAAAAGUGGGACAUUCCCUACCGAAACCAUCAGGCUUGUUGUGAGAACCUCUAGUUUGUGAGAAGCAUAUCCCCAAACCUGCCCCAAAUGGGACAAAAAUUUUACCACGGCAUGUUGAUGCCGCUCCAUGAUAGCAUGCCAAGUUUCAUGAAUUUCAGACGAGUUUCAGAUUUACUAGGAUUUAAAAACCAGGAAUCGCAAUGUUUGCGGCCGCGUGACGGUGGCAGGGUGUUUGACAUUCAUUUCCAUUUCUUGCAUGGGACCUAAGCAUGCAACCAAGGACACAAAUUUGAAUUUUCAACCAAUUUAUAUGCAUUAGAGCAUGUGCAUGUAGUUCAAAUUUGAAUUAUGCUAUAAAUGCAUUGAGAACUCAAUUAAUGCAUAAAAAUGUCAAAACGAACCACGAAAAAUCCCAAAAAUUGACAAAACACUCCUAUUGUUCUAUGUUGACAUGGGAAAAUUUUUGAAAGCAAUAAGAGGCAAUGGAUAUCGUUUCAUCCCCAAAGGUGGGACAUUCCCUACUGAAACCAUCAGGCUUGUUGUGAGAACCUCUAGUUUGUGAGAAGCAUAUCCCCAAACCUGCCCCAAACGGGACAAAAAGUUUACCACGACAUGUUGAUGUCGCUCCAUGAUAGCAUGCCAAGUUUCAUGAAUUUCAGAUGAGUUUUGGAUUUACCAGAAUUUAAAAACCAGGUAUCUUAAUGUUUGCGGCCGAGUGAUGAUGGCAGGGCGUUUGACAUUCAUUCACAUUUCUUGCAUGAGACCUAAGCAUGCAACCAAGGACACAUAUUUGAAUUUUCAACUAAUUUAUAUGCAUUAGAGCAUGUGCCUGUAGUUCAAAUUUGAAUUAUGCACAUGAAUGCAUAGAAAACUCAGUUAAUGUAUAAAAAUGUCCAAGUGAACCCCGAAAAAUCCCAAAAAUUGACACAGCACUCGUGUUGUUCUAUGUUGACACAAGAAACAUUUUGAAAGUAAGAAAAGGCAACAUAUAUUGUUUCGUCCCCCAAGGUGGCACAUACCCUACUGAAACCAUCAGGCUUGUUGUGAGAGAAGCUCUGGUUUGCGAGAAGUUUAUGCCCACAACUGCCCCAAAUGGGAUAAUAUUUUAACCACGACAUGUCGCUACCGUUCCAUGAUAUCAUGUCAAGUUUCAUGAAUUUCAGAUGAGUUUUCGAUUUACUAGAAUGUUAAAAGCAUGCAUCUCAAUGCUAGCGGCUGAGCGAUAGUGAAGGUGUUUGACAUUCAUUCUCAUUUCUUGCAUGUGACCUAAGUUUGCAACCAAGGACAAACAUUUGAUUUUGCAACCCGUUUUUAUGCACUGGAGCAUGUGCUUCAAUUUUGAAUUGUGCACCUGAAAUGGCUAGAAAACCAAUUUAAUAUAUAAAAUUUCCAAACGAACCCUGAAUAAUUCCAAUUUUUUUACGGCACACAUAUAGUUGCAUGUUCACUAUAGAUAAAAGGUCUAGCAAUUCAAACACCGUCCAUUGCCGCUGUGACCCCAUUAUGUAAUUCAAAUCAAAAUGAAAAAUCAAGUAGAUCCCACAAAGUUUAUUAUCACCAACCGUGUGAGAUGUAGUACAAAAUAUCCUGGAGCAUCAUUGAUGUAUAGUACACCUAUGGCUUACGCAAGAAGGUGUGUCGGCUACAGUCCAUAGUCGGCAUGUCAAGCACACUAGCUCGCUCCCCAAAUAUCAUUUCACUGUUCCAUCAUCGCCAGUGAAAGAUGGGGACAUGGACCCGCGUCGUGAGGGCAACUUCGGCGGCCCACUUUGGCGAGAGCGCGACUGCAACCGCCAUGCACGUGCUAACAAGGUGCAUGAGCGCGGCCGCAAUCUGCGACCGGGCGGCCAAGAAAGCCCAAACGUCCGCUAUUGCUUCUUAGGUGGUGGAAGCAACAUCUGCCUUGGGGAUAGCAACUGGCGAGAGCGGCACAACAGCUGUCCUUUCCACAGCGACAGCCUUAGCCCUGAUGGAGGCCGCCCACGACCAUGUCGAGGCCGCCCACGCCUAGCUCAUGGCAGUCACCUCACAAAUCAAACGAAGCUUCUCCGACAACGGUCGGCAAGCCACGACCGAAGAGUUGGCAAUUGCCGAGAGCGUUCGAGCAGCCGUCCGUUCCUCCACCACAUACCUUGCGACGACGGAGCCCGUCCAAGCCCAGAUCACGGCCGCCCAUGCCCUACUCGUGGCGGCCUUUUCCAAAGAGAUGGCUGAUGCAUAUGGCGAGAUGCUUGCCAAAUAUGGUGCGAUGGAUGCCAUGGAGCUCCUUCCCGAGGAGACAAUCGGGCGCGAGCUGGACAUGGAGGAGCCGGCGGAGAUCGACGAGCACCAGCCAUAGUAGUACUCUUUGUUUUGUUUAAUUAAGAGCGCUGGUCUUUAAUUUGUUAGAGUAAUGUUUAGGCCAGCUAGCUCUGUUUAAUUGUUGAACUUGCUCGAUUAAGAAGUGUUGGUGUGCUGUAGUCUCCUUUGUGUACCCAAAUUAUGCAAUGACGUGGAUGAGCACUGUAACCAGGGAAAUUGGAACCAAAUUUUUUGACAUUCGAACUCAUCACACACAUGUUAAGCUAUCUGAAUCGUUUGUGAUGUUCACAUAUUGUACACAGUUCUGAAUAAGGGACCGUGUCUGAUGACACUUUGCGCGCCAGUGUUUUCAUUGCAACGAUUCCAAAAUUUUGGCUUCCGUGGAAAUAUCUACCUCCCCGCCCCCUCCCCUUACCAAAAGCCACAUUUCCCCUGUUUCCGCCUUCCUUUCCAAGUUGAAACCUUCAAUCCUUGCCUGCAGCACCGCCCCCCUCGAGGGCGACCCUCCUUCACGCUACGACCUCGUCUAUCUAGGCAGGUAAUCCACACCAGACCCCAUCCUCCUCCUCCUUCCACAUCCCACAUGCCCCACUGCCGGCGCGACACAUUCCACCCAAAUCACCGACCCCUACACCAAAUAAGCGCCGCCCUAAGCCAUGGUGCACGCAGUAUAGCCAGGAGCUCAAGGAGCAUUUGGCAGUGGAGAAGCAAAUCGUAGCUGCAUGCGCAGAUGAGGUUGAUGACCCACAAGUGUAGGGGAUCUAUCGUAGUCCUUUCGAUAAGUAAGAGUGUCGAACCCAACGAGGAGCAGAAGGAAAUCAUAAGCGGUUUUCAGAAAGGUUUUCUCUGAGCGCUGAAAUUGUAGGUAAUAGAUAGUUUUGUGAUAAGAUAAAUUGUAACGAGUAACAACCAAUGAAAGUAAAUAAAGUGUAGCAAGGUGGCCCAAUCCUUUAUGUAGCAAAGGAUAAGCAUGGACAAUUUCUUAUAAUGAUAAAGGAGCUCCCGAGGACACAUUGGAAUUAUCGUCAAGCUAGUUUUCAUCACGUUCAUAUGAUUCACGUCCGAUACUUUGAUAAUUUGAUAUGUGGGUGGACCGGUGCUUGGUUACUGCCCUUACUUGGACAAGCAUCCCACUUAUGAUUAACCCCUAUUGCAAGCGUCCGCAACUACAAAAGAAGUAUUAAGGUAAACCUAACCACAUCAUUAAACAUAUGGAUCCAAAUCAGCCCCUAACGAAGCAACGCAUAAACUAGGGUUUAAGCUUCUGUCACUCUAGCAACCCAUCAUCUACUUAUUACUUCCCAAUGCCUUCCUCUAGGCUCAAAUAAUGGUGAAGUGUCAUGUAGUCGACGUUCACAUAACACCACUAGAGGAAAAGACAACAUACAUCUCAUCAAAAUAUCGAACGAAUACCAAAUUCACAUGACUACUAAUAGCAAGACUUCACCCAUGUCCCCAGGAACAAACGUAACUACUCACAAAGCAUAUUCAUGUUCAUAAUCAGAGGAGUAAUAAUAUGCAUAAAGGAUCUGAACAUAUGAUCUUCCACCAAGUAAACCAAUUAGCAUCUACUACAAGGAGUAAUCAACACUACUAGCAACCCACAGGUACCAAUUUGUGGUUUUGGUACAAGAUUGGAUACAAGAGAUGAGGGUUUUGAGAGGAGAUGGUGCUGGUGAAGAUGUUGAUGGAGAUUGACCCCCUCCCGAUGAGAGGAUCGUUGGUGAUGAUUUCCCCCUCCCGGAGGGAAGUUUCCCCGGCAGAACAGCUCUGCCGAAGCUCUAGAUUGGUUCCGCCUCAUGGCGGCGGAGUUUCAUCCCGUAAGCUUGUCCAUGAUUUUUUCCAGGGUAAAAGCCCUCAUAUAGCAGAAGAUGGGCACCAGGGGGCCACCAGGGGCCCCAGGAGACAGGGGACGCGCCUAGUAGGGGUGGGCGCGCCCCCACCCUCCUGGCCAGGGUGUGGCCCCCUGAUGUAUUUCUUUCACUCUAUAAUUCUUAUUAAAUCCAAAAACAUGUUUUGUGGAGUUUCAGGACUUUUGGAGCAGUGCAGAAUAGGUUUCCAAUGUUUGCUCCUUUUCCAGCCAGAAUUCUAGCUGCCGGCAUUCCCCCUCUUCAUGGUAAACCUUGUGAAAUAAGGGAGAAUAGCCAUAAGUAUUGAGAUAUAAUGAGUAAUAACAGCCCAUAAUGCAAUAAAUAUUAAGCAUGAUGCAAAAUGGACGUAUCAACUCCCCCAACCUUAGACCUUGCUUGUCCUCAAGCGGAAGCCGAUAUCGAAAAAUAUGUCCACAUGUUUAGAGAUAGAGGUGUCGAUAAAAAUAAAAUACGGACAUGAAGGCAUCAUGAUCAUUCUUAUAACAACAACAUAUAUAGAUUUUAUCAUAUGAUUUCUUAUACUCAAGUAACAAUCAAUUCAAAAUGUCAAGUAUGGUUCAAAAACUUCAUUGAGAACUAACAAACUUUAAUCUCAGUCAUUGAAGCAAUUGUAAUUUAUCAUAACAUCGGAAAGAGUCAACAAUAGAGCCUUUCAGAAAAUCCACAUACUCAACUAUCUUGUAGUCUUCUACAAUUGCUAACACUCACACAAUACUUAUGGUUAUGGAGUUUUAAUCGUACACUGAGAAAGAUAAGGGCUUAUUAUUCCGCCUCCCAACCUAUUCACCUUUGGGUGAUGUCAACAAUAAUAGUUCAUGCUAACUUACAUCCAAUUGGAUAUAUAUACCAGGAUCUUUCCAACACGAGGUGCUUGCCAAAGGAUAAAAUGAAAAGGGAAAGGUGAAGAUCACCUUGACUCGUGCAUAAAGUAAAAGACAUAAAGUAAAAGAUAGGCCCUUCGCAGAGGGAAGCAGAGGUUGUCAUGUGCUUUUAGGGUUGGAUGCACAAAAUCUUAAUGCAAAAGAACGUCACUUUAUAUUGCCCCUUGUAUGUGGACCUUUAUUAUGCAGUCCGUCGCUUUUAUUGCUUCCACAACAAGAUCGUACAAAGCUUAUUUUCUUUGCACUAAUAAGUCAUACAUAUUUAGAUAGCAAUUUUUAUUGCCUACAACAUGACAACUUACUUGAAGGAUCUUACUCAAUCCAUAGGUAGGUAUGGUGGACUCUCAUGGCAAAACUGGGUUUAAGGAUAUUUGGAAGCACAAGUAGUAUCUCUACUUGGUGCAAGGAAUUUGGCUAGCAUGAGGGGGAAAGGCAAGCUCAACAUGUUUGGAAGGUCAAUGACAAUAUACUUUAACUAAGAUGUGAGAAAACAUAAACCAUUAUGUUGUCUUCCUUGUCCAACGUCAACUCUUUUAGCAUGUCAUACUUAAUGAGUGCUCCCAAUCAUAAAAGAUGUUCAAGAUAUUAUAUUUAUAUGUGAACCUCUCUUUCCUUAUCACUUCCUAUUAAUUGCAACGAUGACCAAAACUACGUUUAUCAACUCUCAACAACUUUUAUGCCUCAUACUUCCUAUGUGUGAAGUCAUCACUAACCAUAAGAUCAAUAUGAACUCUUUUAUUCUUUCUACUUUCUCAAGAUCAUAGCAAGAUAGCAAAGCCCUUGACUCAACACUAAUCUUUAUUAUAGAUAGCUCACGGACUCGAAUACAUAAAGAGAUCACAAAGCAAAACUCAAACUACUUGAUAUCAAAACUUCAAUCUACUAAAUCAAGAUACUACUAAAAGGAUCAAACUAAAUAAAAUAGUAAAGAUAGGAGUGUGAUGGUGAUACGAUACCGGGGCACCUCCCCCAAGCUUGGCAGUUGCCAAGGGGAGUGCCCAUACCCAUGUAAUUAUGUCCUCGGAGGUGGUGAAGGGGGAGUUGUUGAUGAUGUAGGCUUGUCGUCCAUCUUCCAAGGCAUAGGCUCACCAUCAUAGAAGGAUGAUCGAGUCUCCGGGAUCCUUAAAUCUGCAGCCAAACUCAUCCUCUUGAAUCUAUAUUCAUACUCACAGUUCUGGUUUUGCAGGUCAUAGAUCUAAGCUUGGAGGUGCUCAAUUUUCUCUUGAAGCUUGAAGAUGGUCUCCCCAAUGACUUUGGCGUCUAGCUUGUGUUUGUUGGUUAACUCCGUGAUCAUCAUCUGGUUGGCGUUGAGUCCACGCUCCACCAUCCCUUGGCACUUGAAAACUUGCUGCUCCACGGCUUCGAGCUUUGUCUCCACGCUUUCGGUACGCCUUGGUCCCUCCACAUUGCAGAUGUGCAGCACCCCCUCACACAUCUUAAUGGAUUGAGGGUGUUGCAGCACCUCCAAGAGAUAGGGUUGAUAACCCUCUCGAAAAACUUCUCCUUGGGAGUGCUUGGAGGCGCCAUGAUGCUCUAGAUCUGAAAAAGAAACAACUCGAAAUGAAAAUAGAGGAUAUUUGCAUGAUACGGUGGUCAAAACCUUCGGGAGUAUAUAUAAUGAAUUUUUACUGACCAAAAUACGUAACGUGCAAGAAAACGAAGUCCGGGAGGCACUCGGGGUGUCCACGAGACAGGGGGGCGCGCCUAGUAAGGGUGGGCGCGCCCUCCACUCUCGUGGGGGCCUCGUGUCCCUCUCAGACUACUUCUUUCUUCCUAAAAUUCUUAAAUAUUCCAAAACUGAUAAAAAUUGCCAUUGUAGUUGUUUUGGAGUCGGUUUACUUACCAUACCACGUACCUAUUCCUUUUCGUAGUCUGGAACGUUCUGGAAAGUGUCCCUUAUGUAUUCCUCUGGGGUUACGGUUUCAAUAAUAUUAGUUUCAACAUUAAUAGGAUUACCUAAAAUAUAAUGUUUAAUUCUUUGACCGUUUACCACCCUCAGACUUGUGCCUUCGAAGUUGUUGAUUUUUAUGGCACCAGAACGAUAGACCUCCUCGAUAACGUAAGGACCUUCCCAUUUAGAGAGAAGUUUUCCUACAAAAAAUCUUAAACGAGAGUUGAAUAAUAACACAUAAUAUCCUAUGUUAAACUCACACUUUUGUAUCCUUUUGUCAUGCCAGCGUUUGACUUUUUCUUUGAAUAGCUUGGCAUUCUCAUAGGCUUGGGUUCUCCAUUCAUCAAGUGAGCUAAUAUCAAACAACCUCUUCUCACCGGCAAGUUUGAAGUCAUAGUUGAGCUCUUUAAUAGCCCAAUAUGCUUUAUGUUCAAGUUCAAGGGGUAAAUGACAUGCUUUUCCAUAAACCAUCUUAUAAGGAGACAUACCCAUAGGAUUUUUGUAUGCAGUUCUAUAGGCCCAUAAUGCAUCAUCAAGUUUUUUGGACCAAUUCUUUCUAGAUCUAUUGGCAGUCUUUUGCAAAAUUAAUUUGAGCUCUCUAUUGCUCAACUCGACUUGACCACUAGACUGCGGAUGAUAAGGAGAUGUGAUUCUAUGAUUAACAUCAUACUUAGCAAGCAUCUUAUGGAAAGCACCAUGAAUAAAAUGUGAACCACCAUCAGCCAUAAGAUAUCUAGGGACUCCAAACCUCGGAAAAAUAACUUCUUUAAGCAUUUUAAUAGAGGUGUUAUGAUCAGCACUACUAGUUGGAAUAGCUUCUACCCACUUAGUAACGUAAUCAACAGCAACUAAAAUAUGUGUGUAACCAUUGGAGGCAGGAAAAGGUCCCAUAUAAUCAAAGCCCCAAACAUCAAACGGUUCGAUAACAAGAGAAUAGUUCAUAGGCAUUUCUUGACGUCUACUAAUAUUACCAAUUCUUUGUCAUUCAUCACAAGAUAAGACAUUACAAGCAUCUUUGAAGAGAGUAGGCCAAUAAAAACCAGAUUGCAGUACCUUGUGUGCAGUUCUAUGUCUAGCGUGGUGUCCUCCAUAUGAUUCAGAGUGACACCUGCGUAGGAUCUGUUCCUGUUCAUGCUCAGGCACACAACGUCUAAUAACACCAUCUAAGCCUUCUUUAUAAAGGUGUGGGUCAUCCCAGAAGUAAUGUCUUAAAUCAUAAAAGAACUUUUUCUUUUGCUGGUAUGUGAAACUAGGAGGUAUAAAUUUAGCAACAAUGUAAUUAGCAUAAUCAGCAUACCAGGGAGCAGUACGAGAAGCAUUAAUGACCGCUAAUUGUUCAUUAGGAAAGCUAUCAUCAAUAGGCAGUGGGUCAUCAAGAACAUUCUCUAACCUAGAUAAGUUGUCUGCAACGGGGUUCUUAGCUCCCUUUCUAUCAAUAAUAUGCAAAUCAAAUUCUUGGGGCAGGAGAACCCAUCUAACGAGUCCAGGCUUAGCGUCUUUCUUUUCCAUAAGAUAUUUAAUAGCAGCAUGAUCAGUGUGAAUAGUAACUUUGGAAUCAACAAUAUAAGGUCUAAACUUAUCACAUGCAAACACAACUGCUAAGAAUUCUUUUUUAGUAGUAGCAUAAUUUCUUUGGGCAGUAUCAAGAGUCUUACUAGCAUACCGGAUAACAUUCAAUUUCUUAUCAACUCUUUGCCCUAGAACAACACCUACACCACAAACACUAGCAUCACACAUAAUUUCAAAAGGUAAAUUCCAAUCAGGUGGCUGAACAAUAGGUGCAGUGAUCAAAGCUUUCUUAAGUAUUUCAAAAGCUUCUACACAAUCAUCAUCAAAGACAAAAGGAAUAUCUUUUUGCAAUAAAUUAGUGAGAGGCCUAGAGAUUUUAGAAAAGUCCUUAAUGAACCUCCUAUAAAAACUGACAUGACCAAGGAAACUUCUUAUACCUUUUAUGUCCUUGGGACAUGGAAUCUUUUCAAUAGCAUCAACUUAGGCUUUGUCAACUUCAAUACCUCUCUCGGAAAUCUUAUGCCCCAAGACAAUGCCUUCAUUAACCAUAAAGUGACACUUUUCCCAAUUCAGGACGAGACUAGUGUCUUCGCAUCUCUGUAAAACUCGAUCAAGGUUGCUUAAACAAUCAUCAAAAGAGGAUCCAUAGACGGAGAAGUCAUCCAUGAAUACCUCACAAAUCUUUUCACAAAAAUCAGAGAAUAUAGCCAUCAUGCAUCUUUGAAAGGUAGCAGGUGCAUUACAUAAACCAAAAGGCAUACGUCUAUAAGCAAAAGUACCGAAAGGGCAAGUAAAAGUAGUUUUAGAUUGAUCCCCCGCUGACACAUGUAUUUGAGAGAAGUCAGAAUAACCAUCUAGAAAGCAGAAAUGUGUAUGUUUGGAUAGUCUUUCUAGCAUUUGAUCAAUAAAAGGUAAAGGGUAAUGAUCUUUCUUAGUGGCUUUAUUUAACUUACGGAGAUCAAUUACCAUCCUAUAACCUGUAAUAAUUCUUUGCGGGAUCAAUUCAUCUUUAUCAUUAGGUACAACGGUAAUACCUCCCUUUUUAGGAACACAGUGGACAAGACUUACCCAUUUACUAUCAGCAACGUGAUAAAUUAUACCUGCUUCAAGGAGCUUUAGUAUCUCCUUUCUUACCACUUCUUUCAUCUUGGGAUUCAGUCAUCGUUGAGGAUCCCUAAUUGGUUUGGCAUCUUUCUCCACUGCAAUUUUGUGUUGGCAUAAUGUGGGACUAAUGCCCUUAAGAUCAUCCAGAGUAUAUCCAAUAGCAGCUCGGUGCUUCUUCAGAGUUUUCAAUAAUCUUUCUUCUUCUUGCGCUGAAAGGUUAGCACUAAUAAUAACAUGAUAUAUUUUCUUCUCAUCAAGAUAAGCAUACUUAAGAUUAUUAGGUAAUGGUUUGUGUUCAAACACGUGAUCACCCUUGGGUAGAGGGGGAUCCCCAAGAAUUUUAACAGGAAGGUUAUGUUUCAACAUAGGUUCCUGUUUAAGGAACACUUCAUAUAUUUCCCUUCUUUCCUUCAUAAACAUAUCAUUUUCAUGGUCUAGCAAAUAUUGUUCUAAGGGAUCAGUAGGAGGCACGACAAUAGAAGCAAUACCAAUAAUCUCAUCCUUACUAUGUGAUUCUCUAUCACGGGGUUGUCUAGGAAAUUUAGCAAAAUUAAACUCAUGUUUCAUAUCCCCCAAGCAAAUUUCAACAAUAUCCUUUUCACAGUCAAUCUUAGCUUUAACAGUAUUCAAGAAGGGUCUACCAAAAAUAAUGGGGCAAAAAUCAUCUUGUGGGGAACCAAGAACAAGAAAAUCAGCAGGGUAUUUAACCUUCCCACACAAGACUUCAACAUCUCUAACUAUCCCGACUGGUUUAAUGGUAUCCCUAUUAGCAAGCUUAAUAGUAACAUCAAUGUCUUCUAAUUCAACGGGUGCAAUUUCGUGCAUAAUUUUUUAUAUAGAUCAUAGGGUACUGCACUAGCACUAGCACCCAUAUCACAUAAGCCAUGAUAACAAUGAUCUCCUAUUUUAACAGAAAUAACAGGCAUGCCUACGACAGGUCUAUGUAUCUUAGUAUCUGGUCUAGCAAUAUUAGCAGUCUCACCACAGAAAUAAAUAACAUGCCCAUCUAAAUCAUCGUCCAAGAUAUCUUUAACCAUAGGAAUACUAGGUUCAACUUUGAUUUGCUCAGGAGGUGUAUAAGUCCUAGUAUUACUCUUACGAACAACAGUUGAAGUUUUAGCAUGAUCCUUUAUCCUAACAGGGAAAGGAGGUUUCUCAACGUAAGUAGUAGGAACAAUAGGAUCACUAUAGGUGAUAGUCUUUUCUUCAACUAUAAUAGGUGCAACUACUUUAACUUCAACGGGAGGAUUAUAUUUAAACCAUUUCUCCUUAGGGAGAUCAACGUGAGUAGCAAAAGAUUCACAGAAAGAAGCUACUAUCUCAGAGUCAAGUCCAUAUUUAACGCUAAAUCCACGAAAAGCAUUGGUAUCCAUAAAAGAUUUAACACAAUCAAACUUAGGUGUCAUACCUGACUCCUUACCAUCGUCGGAACCCCAAUCUUCAGAGUUGCGUUUAAUCCUUUCCAAUAAGUCCCAUCUGAAGUCAAUAGUCUUCAGCAUAUAAGAACCAACACAGGAAGUAUCAAGCAGGUUGCGAUCAUUGAGAGAAAGCCGAGCAUAAAAUUUUUGAAUAACCAUUUCCCGGGAGAGCUCAUGAUUGGGGCAUGAAUAUAACAUUGACUUAAGCCUCCCCAAGCUUGAGCGAUGCUUUCUCCUUCGCGAGGCCAGAAAUUAUAUAUGUAAUUACGAUCACGAUGAACAAGAUGCAUAGGAUAAAACUUCUGGUGAGAUUCCAACUUCAAUCGUUUAUAAUUCCAAGAUUUCGUAUCAUCACAUAGCCUAUACCAUGUCAAUGCAUCUCCCUUCAAAGAUAAAGGGAAGACCUUCCUUUUGACAACAUCAUCAGGAAUACCUGCAAGCUUAAAUAAUCCACAAACUUCAUCCACAAAGAUAAGGUGUAAAUCAGGAUGCAAUGUUCCAUCUCCUGUAAAUGGAUUAGCUAGUAGUUUCUCUAUCAUACCCGAAGGAAUCUCAAAGCAAAUAUUUUCAAAAAUUUCAGUAGGUUGAGGAGCAACUCCUUGCUCUUCUGGUCGGGGUUAAGAUACCCCGAACAAGCCCCUCAAAGGAUUAGUUUCCAUAGUGACAAGUAACAGAAAAUUUCAGCACACUAUAUAAAUGUUUCCUCACCAAGUUCCACUCACCAAAAGUGCUACACUCCCCGACAACAGCGCUAGAAAAGAGUCUUGAUGACCCACAAGUGUAGGGGAUCUAUCAUAGUCCUUUCGAUAAGUAAGAGUGUCGAACCCAACGAGGAGCAGAAGGAAAUGAUAAGCGGUUUUCAGUAAGGUUUUCUCUGAAGGCACUGAAAUUGUAGGUAAUAGAUAGUUUUGUGAUAAGAUAAAAUGUAACGAGUAACAAGCAAUGAAAGUAAAUAAAGUGCAGCAAGGUGGCCCAAUCCUUUAUGUAGCAAAGAGUAAGCCUGGACAAUUUCUUAUAAUGAGAAAGGAGCUCCCGAGGACACAUGGGAAUUAUUGUCAAGCUAGUUUUCAUCACGUUCAUAUGAUUCGCGUUUGGUACUUUGAUAAUUUGAUAUGUGGGUGGACCGGUGUCACGACCGGUUUUUCAAUAAAAUACUUAUUGAGAAAAUCGAUCUUUUGAUCCCAGUAUAGGAAAAGUUAUCCUCAUUGUUAGACAAAUACUUGAUAUACAGAGAACCAGUAGUAUUAAAUAUAUUACAGGGUUGAGCUGAGGCUGCUCAACAAUUUAUUACAAACACACCAAUAUCAUACAUAAGGGCAGUUGCGACAUAGGGGUGUGGUGACAUGCUACUAGCUCGAGAUAAAACUGGUGGUGGAUAACUUGACUCCUAACUGGCAGCUCAUCGAGCGUCGAGGUGAGGCUCGAUGAAUUUAUUUCUGGGCUGGCGAAAGCGGAUAUAACACAAUGACCAAAAGCAGGAUCGCACGGGACUGACUGGGACUCCUCUAGGCGUCGGACUCGCUAUCGAACUCUUCAUCCAUGAGAUCACCUUCAUCAACAUUUGGCCAAAUCAACAAGCCAGGUGAGUACUUUGAAAGUACUCGCAAGACCGUUCGGACAAAAGAUAUAACAAAUGCAUGCACGAAUGCGUCAUGAGCAAAAAGAUAAUAAUGCUCAUUUCAAUAAUAAAAUUUUGCACGACUUGAUAAGUAAAACAAAUAACUGAAAACCGAUCGGGUGUCUGGAGCGACGCCUCGAAAGGUAAACAAAUAAAGCUCAUGCUGCAGUCGGGCGUCUAAGCGACAACACAUAAAGGGCUUAUAAAAGAAAUGCCACAGUCGGGCGUCUCAGCGACACCACAUAAAGGGCUUAUAAAAAGAAUGCCUCAGUUGGGCGUCUCAGCGACACCACAUAAAGGGCUUAUAAAAGAAAGGCCACAGUCAGGCGUCUCAGCGACACCAUAUAAAGGGCUUAUAAAAGAAAUGCCACAGUCGGGCGUCUCAGCGACACCACAUAAAGGGCUUAUAAAAAGGAUGCCUUAGUCGGGCAUCUCAGCGACACCACAUAAAGGGCUUAUAAAAGAAAGGCCAUAGUCGGGCGUCUCAGCGACACCACAUAAAGGGCUUAUAAAAGAAAUGCCACAGUCGGACGUCUGAGCGACAUCGCAGAAAGGGCUUAUCUCGAUAAUAAAUAACAAGUGUGCCACAGUCGGACGUCUAAGUGACAUCACGGAAAGGGCUUAUAUCAAAUGUAAAUAACGGGUUAGUCCAUCCACAAGAAUAAAAUUUUAACCGGAUUUAACACUCAUGUAGUUCACCGGAGUUGUGUCACUGAAGCUGAUAUCUGACAAGAUAAGAUGAACACAGUACUUGGACAUGUACAAGAUGAUUUAAAGGAUUUGUGACUCUGUAGAGUUUGAAUUAACUGUCCACAGCCAACGGAUUUCCGUAGUCACGAAGGACUAGUUCUGUUUACGGUAUUUCGGUAGAAACACAUUUAACCAGUACACACCCAUUCCACCUCACGAUGCCAGGAAUCACCCUAGACAACGUCCAAGAAAAACUUUGAGACGGGGAGGUCACAACCUCGAAUAGCAUGGGAUCAAAUUUCUAUACGCGCGCUCUAAGGGGUGCCCCCCUCUCGGUCCCAACCGGAAACACCCAUGCCCCCUGACCGGAUGACGGGCUUUAAUCCAGGGCCAUGGAACCCUCAUCCCGACCUCUCUAUUUUGUGUGUACCAGGAAAAACGGUUUGCAACUUACUAAGCCAUAUUCCUUGCGGAAAACAUGUGGCAGUACAGGAAAGGAAAUGAAUGGGAAUAUGAUUUGAUUCACGAUGACACUGAAGUCAAAUAGACUGGCAUAAGACUGGCAUGCCACAACACUGCCGUCUUACCCAUCCUCAUGCCAUCACAUGGCCAUGCAAAUAUGUAUCCAACAACAUAUGGAUUUCCGAAACUCACUUUCCACUUCUUUUGCAUGAAAAAUAACAUUCAAAGAAAUGUUCAUAAACAUGCCAUGAAACUCCUAAAUGCAAACAUGCAUCAAACACUCAUCAUAUCAAGAGUUCAAACAUGCUUUCCUGGUUCGGAGUAGUCGGAGUCUAACUGGGUGAAGUUCGCGGCUCCGUCACCUCCUCCUACAUCUACGGUAUAAGAAAAAUACGUACGUAACGUAAAUACUGCGAGGUGCACAAAAGUAUUCCAAAUAAUUCUCAAAUAAAUAUGAUAAAAAACUAGAUAAAAUUUUAAAGGGGACAGAAGAAGAAUCAAACAAAAUCCUUUUCUGUUUAAAAGAUAUAAGGGUUUUGAUUCAUGGAACUUUCUGUAAUGAAACAGAAAACUCCGAGGGGGGUUCUGGAGAAAAGUCCAGAAAAAGAUUCAAAACUGGAAAGCGCAUUUUGCCAAAAUACGCUUUCAGAAAACGGUUCGAUUAAUAAGAAUGAGAGACUGAUAGGCGGGUCCCACCUGUCAGGUUUGAAUAUUCAAACGAGGGAGACGAGGCUCGUCGGUGCCCGAGAGCUGCGGUGGUCGCCGACGGUGAUUCACGGCGAGGUAGGGGGAUCGGGUGGUACCUCUGUGUUCAGUACGUCCUUCCACGUCGGUGGGUGGUGGUGGUGGUCACCGGCGAGCACCACGUCAACGGCGGACGGUGGUUCGGGUAGUCGUGGACCUCGUCGGAGGGAGCUGCUGGGGUCAAAUUGGAGUGGGGGUUAGUCUCCUAGAGGUGUCAUGAGGCUACGGGCAAGUCUAGGGCGGUGGAGGAGUUCUCACCAGAGAGAACACUGUCGGAGUCCGAAGCGGACAGAGGUGGCCGGAGUUGAGGAAGAAGGGCCCCUCGAGGCUCUUCCAGUGGCUAGGCGGGGUCUGGUGAGGUGGUGGAGAUGUGCGGGGUUGAGAGCGAGCUCAGAGGCGCUAUUUAUAGCCGGCCUGAGGCGGUUGCCGUGAACGGGAUAAGUCCGGCGAGUGAUUACGGUGACGCUGUGGCUGGACGGUUGGUUUAGGUGCUUGAGCAUCGUCUAGACGAAGCACUGAUUCCAUCCCAGUGCCUAACUCAGCGAGGCAGGGGCAGUUACGGCCUAUCCCCGACGGAACGGCCUUACGGCACGUCGGCGACAGAGAGCGCACCCUGAGCGUGCGAGGCCACGGCGAUGGUGCUGCAGGCGUGCGCUGGCAAGGGAGACGGCCACGCGGAGCUCCCAGGUGGCUUGGGCGGUGCCGAACGACAUUAUGCCGCAGGAUGCCCCCUGUCGGCCGCCACGGGAGGUUCUGCCGCCGCUGAAGACGCCGGCGCAGGCGGGCCAGGGUGCCAUCGAUGCCAGGAACGAGCCAAGUUCGCGUGCAGUGCUCCGGACAGGGAGGAGGAGCCAUGCGCAAUGCGCCAGGUGCACAGUUGACAUGUGACUGAACACUGACGAAGAAACGACACUGAAACUCUGAAUUUUCUGAAGGUGCAUAGUAACAGUGCAGGCCAGGUGUUCGACAGAAUGAUUUUGGUAUGAGGGGAUUUUUCCUUGAGCUAGUUUUUGGUGGAGUGGUCUCUCAUUGCAACUGGGGUUUGCCUGAAUUUUGGUGGAAUUUUUGGAGAAGUGGAGAUAUGAAUUUCACCAAAUUUGACAAAUCUGGUCCAAACUUGCAGAGGGUGAAUUUUGAAAAUUUUGAAAAGAAGAAGAGUGGAUCUUGAUGGUUCUAGGUUGUGGGUGCUAGGGACUAUCCAGAGGAGUUGAUUUGAGACCAAAGUUCAAAGGCAUUAAGGUACUUGCUUUGCAAAUUACCUAGGCUCAAAAUAAAGGACAUAAUUGUUUUGGGGAAAGAAAUAAAUGAGAUAAAAUCCAAAAAUGGAUUUAACUAGUUGGGACAGAAUGCUUGGGUUGUCCCAAAGUGGAAGGAGGGGGUUUUGGGAGAAUUUUACCACAAGAGGCAUGGUAAAAACAAGAAUGGGUCAAAACCAAAGAAUAGCCCAAAACCAAAAAGUUUUUCUUUUUUAGAAGAAACUAAAUCCAAGAAAAGCUUUUUGAGGAGGAAAACUCAGAAGAGAGGUUUUUAAGAAGGGUUUAAAUGACCUUCUUCAAACCAAGCAAGGCUCUUGCUGAAAACAAAAACAACAAAAUUUUUGGAGUGUCACAGCACCUACCCCCUUAGGAAAAAUCUCAUCCCCGAGAUUUCAGCUGAUCCUUAAACAGGUGUGGGUGCUCUGUCCGAAGAAAAUCCUUUCUCUCCCAAGUUGCUUCACUCUCGGUGUGAUUGCUCCACUGAACUCUGAAAAACUUGAUGGUUUUUUGUCGGGUCCUUCUCUCAGACUCCUCUAAUAUUUUUAUUGGGCGCUCCCGGUAGGUGAGGUCUGGUUGCACGUCAAUAUUUUCAUGUGAUACUUGCUUCUCUGGGUUGCUCACGUACUUUCUCAACUGCGAGAUGUGGAACACGUUGUGGAUAUCGGAUAAAUCUCCGGGUAGGUCUAGCUGGUAGGCUACCAUGCCUCUUCGGGCCACUAUACAGAAUGGUCCAAUGAAUCUUGGUGCUAGCUUUCCCUUAACCCUGAAUCGUUGCAGACCCCUCAUAGGAGAAACUCUUAGGUAUACAAACUCUCCGGGUUCAAAACUGAUUUCCCGAUGCUUUCGAUCGUAAUAACUCUUUUGCCGACUUUGAGCUGUCUUGAGUCGAUCUCUAAUCGUCUUAACUUUCUCCUCAGCCUCCUUGAGCAUAUCUGGGCCGAAGAUGUGGCUGUCCCCGGUUUCUGACCAGUUUAGCGGGGUACGACAUCUUCUCCCAUAUAGAGCUUCAAAUGGUGCCAUUUGCAGGCUGGCUUGAUAACUGUUGUUGUAUGCGAACUCUACAUAUGGCAAGCUUUCUUUCCAACUGGUUCCGUAGGUGAGGACACACGCUCUCAGCAUGUCUUCUAGAAUUUGGUUUACGUGUUUAGUUUGCCCAUCAGUCUGGGGGUGGUAUGCGGUACUGAAUGCUAGUUGGGUUCCCAGUGCCUGUUGUAGGUGAUUCGAAAAUCUAGAGACGAACUGUGUGCCUCUGUCAGAUAUGAUAGUCUUUGGGACUCCAUGCAGGCAGACGAUACGGGCAAGAUGAAGUCUGGCCAGCCUCUGAGUGGUGUGAGUUGUCUUCACCGGGAUAAAAUGUGCUACCUUAGUUAAUCUGUCGGUGAUGACCCAUAUGGCAUUAUUUCCGUGUCGUGACCGUGGUAGUCCAACAAUGAAAUCCAUUCCAAUCUCGUCCCACUUCCACUCGGGUAUCUUGUUUGGCUGUAACAGCCCGGCUGGUUUCUGGUGCUCGGCCUUGAUGCGUUGACAAGAGUCACAACAUGCAAUGAACGUGGCUAUGUCUCUCUUCAUACCGUGCCACCAAAAUCUUUCCUGAAGGUCUUUGUACAUUUUUGUCCCUCCAGGAUGGAUUGAAUACGGAGCGGUGUGGCUUUCAGCCAGAAUUUGCUGUUUGAGGUCCUUGAUAUUUGGUACGCAAAUUCUCUCUCCGUACCACAAUAUUCCUUGCUCAUCUACGUUGAAUUCUGAGGCCUUGCCCAAACUCACUUUCCUUUUUAUGCCAUCAAUGCUAGGGUGUCCAUGCUGAGCCUCCUUAAUCUUUUCCAUCAGGGUAGGCUGUAUUUCCAAAUUCGACACACUGCCUUCGGUGACCAUUAUCAAAUUGAGUUUGGCAAAUUCCUGUUGAAAUUCUGGCCUCAAAUUUGGUAUACUAUCGUUGUCCGAGCUGGGAUUCCGACUAAGGGCAUCUGCCACAACAUUUGCUUUUCCGGGAUGAUAGUGAAUUCCAACAUCAUAAUCCUUCACUAACUCCAACUAGCGUCGUUGCCGUAAAUUAAGUUCCGGCUGUGUGAAAAUAUACUUAAGGCUCUUAUCGUCUGUGUAUAUUUCACAACGAUUUCCAAGUAGAAAGUGUCUCCAUUCUUUGAGUGCAUGGAUGACCGCUGCCAAUUCCAAGUCAUGAGUGGGAUAAUUUUCCUCAUGCUUGCGAAGUUGUCUGGAGACAUACGCAACUACCUUGCCUUCUUGCAUCAAUACGCAUCCAAGGCCUUUCCGGGAUGCAUCACAAUAUACCUCAAAAUUCUUGUGUAUGUCUGGCACAAUUAAUACGGGUGCCGUUGUUAAUUUCCUUUUUAGCUCUUGGAAGCUUUUCUCACAGGAUUCCGUCCAUUCAAACUUCUUGUCUUUCUUGAGUAACUGCGUCAUUGGCUUUGCUAUGGUGGAGAAUCCUUCAAUAAAUCUCCGGUAAUAACCUGCCAUUCCCAAGAAACUCCGUACGUCCGUUACGCUAGCUGGUGGUUUCCAGCCAAGUACGGCCUUGAACUUUUUUCGGGUCUACUGCAAUACCUUCUUGGGUUAGCACGUGGCCCAGAAAACCCACCCGUCUUAGCCAAAAUUCACAUUUGCUAAAUUUGGCGUACAGUUGAUGUUUCCUGAGUUCUCCUAGUACAAUCCUGAGAUGCUCGGCGUGCUCUUCUGGUGUUUUGGAGUAUAUCAGAAUAUCAUCGAUGAAUACCACAACAAACUUGUCCAUAUACUUCAUAAAUACUUUGUUCAUGAGGUGAACAAAAUAUGCGGGGGCGUUUGUUAGCCCAAAUGGCAUUAUAGUGAACUCAUACAAUCCAUAUCUGGAGGUGAAGGCUGUCUUGGGAAUAUCUUUUGUCCGCACUUUCAAUUGGUGGUAUCCCGAUCUCAAGUCAAUUUUUGAGAAGACUUUGGCCUGUGCGAGCUGAUCAAAUGAAUCAUUUAUUCGGGGCAUUGGGUAUUUGUUCUUGAUUGUGACCAUGUUAAGAGCUCAAUAGUCUAUACACAAUCUCAGUGUUCCAUCCUUUUUCUUGGCAAAUAAAAUUGGAGAACCCCAAGGUGAGGAACUGGCUCGUAUGUAUCCUUUCUCCAAUAAUUCUUUUAUUUGCUUCUUCAAUUCUACUAAUUUGGAUGGUGCCAUUCUGUAUGGUUUCUUGUAAAUGGGAGCGGUUCUGGGUGCUAGCUCAACGCUGAAUUCUAUCUCGCGGUCCGGUGGCAUGCCUGGUAGUUCUUCUGGAAAUACGUCUGGAAAUUCACACACUACUGGAACCUUGUUCAGCUCAGAAACGUCCACCUUGUUUAAUCUCGGUUGCCGAGGUAUUUGUAUCUCUUUGGCUGAAACUUUUAUUGUCUUCCCGUGAUGGUGUGUGAGAAUUACGGUCCGGUUGAAGUAGUCAAUAAAACCUUUGUUGGUAGUUAACCAAUCCAUCCCUAGGAUGACAUCCAGUCCUUUACUUUCCAAUACAAUAAGGUUGGCGUAAAACUUCAAUCCUUCAAAUUCAAUAACCACACCUUGAUAGUAACUCUGGGUCACUUGCUUAAUUCCAUGGGACUUGAUGAUCAUGGAUUUUUCCAAGGGAAGCAUUGAAAAUUAUUUUGCAAAGCAAAACUCUUCGAAAUGAAUGAGUGAGAAGCUCCAGAAUCAAACAAAACCAUGGCAGGUAUUGUGUUGACAGGGUACGUACCGAGUACGAUAUCUGGGGCGUUCUGUGCUUCCUCUUUGGUCACGUGGUUCAGAUGACCCUUCCUGUGGUUGUUAUUGGGGUUGAAAUCGUUUCGCUUGGGCGCUGAAUUAUUGCCACCAUUGUUAGGCUUUGGGGUUGAGUUCCUUGGCUUGGGGCACUGCUUGGCAUAGUGCCCUUCUUCUCCACAAGCGUAACAAGUAACGCCUGGGAGAUAUGUGAACUCCUUGUCUCUUGCAUGGAAAUUCUUGAUUGGGCGUGAAUUAUUCGUCGGGGUUUUGUGUGUUCCACCCUUCUGAAAUUCCGUCUUGCUUCUGUGGUUGCGAGCAAAAGUAGACUGGUCCCUUUUGCGUUUGCGGAAAUCUUCCAAGCUGCGUCGCUCAUUUUCCAGAGUAAUGGCCUUAUCCAACAGUGUUUUAAAAUCUGGGAAGGUAUGCACAACCAGCUGGCAUUUAAGUGCGGGUGCCAGGCCUUCCAAGAAUUUUUCCAUCUUCUUGCUCUCGGUCAUGCGCUCUUCGUUGGCAUAGCGAGACAGCAGAGUGAAUUGGCUGUUGUAUUCUAACACUGUCAUGGUCCUUUGCUUGAGGUCAUCAAAUUCUCUCUUCUUGAUUUUCAUAACACUCUUAGGAAUGUGUGCCCCACGAAAACCUUCCUUGAAAUCCUCCCAGGUUAUUUCAUUUUCGUUGGGGUGCAUGUGCAGGAAAUUUUCCCACCACGAUGCAGCUGCUCCAGUGAGAUAAUAUGGUGCAUACAAUACUUUUUCAUGGUUUGAACACUGUGCAAUAAUUAAUUUUCUUUCCAUGUCUCAAAGCCAGCCAUCGGCCUCAAGAGGCUUGUCAAUAUGAGAAAAUGUUGGGGGACGCGUCUUCUGUAACUCAGACAACUUGGAUUGCUGCUGAUACUGACCACAGUGAUUUCUCAUAUUGAUGAAUUGGUUCAUCAUUUCCUGGUGUUGUUGCUGACUCUGUUCAUACAGACGACACACUUGGGUAAAUGUUGUUUCACUGUCCUGUUGACUUGUCUGUCCCUGAGUGAAAUUGUGGUUUGGUGGUGUGCCAUAAUUUUCUUCGGGCUGAUUUGGCAUGGAGCGCGUCCAAGGACGAGACAUCUUUCACUCUGGGGAUAUAUUUUGUGAAACUCGUAAGACAAGAAAGAGAGUCGCAAAAGUCAAUAAAAUCACACACAAUUUUUUUUAAAACUCCAGGAUUUUUUUGAAAAUACACGAUUGCGCGCGGAGAAGGACUAUUACAUAUCUUACACGCAAGCAUAAUUAUACAUUACAUCACUCAGGAUAUGCGUACAUAAUCCUGACAUGUUAUUGAGACUAGUGCACUUCUCCAGAUCCUACAUGAUGCGCAAAUAAGCUACUUCUCACAACCUAUGUACAUAUAAACACAUCACACAAGUCGGUACAUCGCAUGGCGUCUAAACGUACUCAGUCGGAGAUGGAGAGGAUCUCCCUUGGCCUGCCGAGGGUGAGACGCAGUGAGGCUGGGGACUCAACCUCCUCCUCGCUAAUAGGUUCCAGAUGAGAAGUGCUGCGCUGAGCUGAUGGAGCAGGUGCCAUAGUCGGAGUAACACGAAUAUGAGUGGGCGGAAUAGGUGGAGUAGCACGUAUGGGAGUGGGUGCAAUAAGUGGUGCAGAGCAAACAGGAGUGGGUGCAAUAGCUUGGUUGAAUUCCUCAGUGGUAGGCAGACGACGAGCAAUGGCGAGAAUGGUAGGUGAAUGAGAAGCUGAGGACGAGAUGAAAGUCAGCGGUGGAGCGGUGUGCAGGAGUUCCCUUCUGUUGGCGGCACAGCCAUGGACUGAGUCCACGCGGGCAGCUACGAGGUCGUCCGCCAUGCUGUCGAAGGCUGCCUCCAGGGCUCGGAGGUACUCGACAAGCAUCUCAAAGGCCUCGUCUCGCUCUCCUCUGGGGCAAGAGAAUGAGUAGUGACAUGUGUAUGGCACGUGGCAUGGAAGGUAGCGGUAGCGACGGGUCUUCAUUGCAGGAAGGACAUCCCGAAGACGAGCUAUCGCCUCGCGGGCAGCCAUCUGCAUAGCAUGCCUCUCUGUAGGCAUGGCUCUCCCCAAGAAUCGGAAGCGGCGUAUCUCAGCACGCCCUCCCUUGAAUUGCACCGCGGCCUGGUGCAUGGUCAGACUAUCGUUGAUCUUGUGUGGGUAAAGUGUGAAGACUGGGCGUACGGAUGGCCCCAUCGCGACCUGAAUGACGAAGGAGAGGAGUUUGACGAACCCCUCAGGCACGUUGGCGAAUAUCUGUGACUCACAGUCGUUGCCAGCCAUCUACAAAAGUAGGCAAAAUUCCUGAGCGAUCAGAUCAUAAAUUUUAUGCUGACUGUCAGAAAAAUGACUACAUUUGCAAAAACAUGAAUAAACUCUAUCAUGCUAAUAACCGAUUAGCGAUUGCACCUAGUGGCUUCCUACAGUCAGCCUGGCUCUAGUACCAAGUCUGUCACGACCGGUUUUUCAAUAAAAUACUUAUUGAGAAAAUCGAACUUUUGAUCCCAGUAUAGGAAAAGUUAUCCUCACUGGUAGACAAAUACUUGAUAUACAGAGGACCAAUAGUAUUAAAUAUAUUAUAGGGUUGAGCUGAGGCUGCUCAACAAUUUAUUACAAACACGCCAAUAUCAUACAUAAGGGCGGUUGCGACACAGGGGUGUGGGGACAUGCUACUAGCUCGAGAUAAAAGUGGUGGUGGAUAACUUGACUCCUAACUGGCAGCUCAUCAAGCGUCGAGGUGAGGCUCGAUGAAUUUAUUUCUGGGGUGGCGGAAGCGGAUAUAACACAAUGACCAAAAGCAGGAUCGCACGGGACUGACUGGGACUCCUCUAGGCGUCCGACUCGCUAUCGAACUCUUCAUCCAUGAGAUCGCCUUCAUCAACAUCUGGCCAAAUCAACAAGCUAGGUGAGUACUUUGAAAGUACUCGCAAGACAGUUCGGACAAAAGAUAUAACAAAUGCAUGCAUGAAUGCGUCAUGAGCAAAAAGAUAAUAAUGCUCAUCUCAAUAAUAAAAUUUUGCACGACUUGAUAAGUAAAACAAAUAACUGAAAAAACCGAUCGGGUAUUUGGAGUGACACCUCGAAAGGUAAACAAAUAAAGCUCAUGCCGCAGUCGGGCGUCUAAGCGACACCACAUAAAGGGCUUAUAAAAGAAAUGCCACAGUCAGACGUCUGAGCGACAUCGCAGAAAGGGCUUAUCUCGAUAAUAAAUAACAAGUGUGCCACAGUCGGACGUCUAAGUGACACCACAUAAAGGGCUUAUAAAAAGGAUGCCUUAGUAGGGCGUCUCAGCGACACCGCAUAAAGGGCUUAUAAAAGAAAGGCCACAGUCGGGCGUCUCAGCGACACCACAUAAAGGGCUUAUAAAAGAAAUGCCACAGUCGGACGUCUGAGCGACAUUGCAGAAAGGGCUUAUCUCGAUAAUAAAUAACAAGUGUGCCACAGUCGAACGUCUAAGCGACAUCACGGAAAGGGCUUAUAUCAAAUGUAAAUAACGGGUUAGUCCAUCCACAAGAAUAAACUUUUAACCGGAUUUAACACUCAUGUAGUUCACCGGAGUUGUUCACUAAAGCUGAUAUCUGACAAGAUAAGAUGAACACAGUACUUGGACAUGUACAAGAUGAUUUAAAGGAUUUGUGACUCUGCAGAGUUUGAAUUAACUGUCCACAACCAACGGAUUUCCGUAGUCACGAAGGACUAGUUCCGUUUACGGUAUUUCUGUAGAAACACAUUUAACUAGUACACACCCAUUCCACCUCACGAUGUCAGGAAUCACCCUAGACAACGUCCAAGAAAAACUUUGAGACGGGGAGGUCACAACCUUGAAUAGCAUGGGAUCAAAUUUCUAUACGCGCGCUUUAAGGGGUGUCCCCCUCUCGGUCCCAUCCGGAAACACCCAUGCCCCUUGACUGGAUGACGGGCUUUAAUCCAGGGCCAUGGAACCCUCAUCCCGGCCUCUCUAUUUGGUGUGUACCAGGAAAAACGGUUUGCAACUUACUAAGCCAUAUUCCUUGCAGAAAACAUGUGGCAGUACAGGAAAGGAAAUGAAUGGGAAUGUGAUUUGAUUCACGAUGACACUGAAGUCAAAUAGACUGGCAUAAGACUGUCAUGCCACAACACUGCCAUCUUACCCAUCCUCAUGCCAUCACAUGGCCAUGCAAAUAUGUAUCCAACAACAUAUGGAUUUCCGAAACUCACUUUCCACUUCUUUUGCAUGAAAAAUAACAUUCAAAGAAAUGUUCAUAAACAUGCCAUGAAACUCCUAAAUGCAAACAUGCAUCAAACACUCAUCAUAUCAAGAGUUCAAACAUGCUUGCCUGGUUCGGAGUAGUCGGAGUCUAACUGGGUGAAGUUCGCGGCUCCGUCACCUCCUCCGGUAUCUACGGUAUAAGAAAAAUACGUAUGUAACGUAAAUACGGCGAGGUGCACAAAAGUAUUCCAAAUAAUUCUCAAAUAAAACUGAUAAAAAACUAGAUAAAAUUUUAAAGGGGACAGAAAAAGACUCAAACAAAAAUCCUUUUCUGUUUAAAAGAUAUAAGGGUUUUGAUUCAGGGACCUUUCUGUAAUGAAACAGAAAACUCUGAGGGGGUUCUGCAGAAAAGUCCAGAAAAAGAUUCAAAACUGGAAAGCGCAUUUUGCCAGAAUACACUUUCAGAAAACGGUUCGAUUAAUAAGAAUGAGAGACUGACAGGCGGGUCCCACCCGUCAGGUUUGAAUAUUCAAACGAGGGAGACGGGGCUCGUCGGCGCCCGAGAGCUGCGGUGGUCGCCGACGGUGAUUCACGGCGAGGCAGGGGGAUCGGGUGGUACCUCCAUGUUCAGUACGUCCUUCCGCGUCAGUGGGUGGUGGUGGUGGUCGCCGGCGAGCACCACGUCGAUGGCGGCCCUUGCUCCGGCGGACGGUGGUUCGGGUAGUCGUGGACCUCGUUGGAGGGAGAUGUUGGGGUCAAAUUGGAGUGGGGGUUAGUCUCCUAGAGGUGUCAUGAGGCUAUGGCAAGUCUAGGGCGGUGGAGGAGUUCUCUCCAGAGAGAACGCUGCCGGAGUCCGAAGCGGACGGAGGUGGCCGGAGUUGAGGAAGAAGGGCCCCUCGAGGCUCUUCCAGUGGUUAGGCGGGGUCUGGUGAGGUGGUGGAGAUGUGCGGGGUCGAGAGCGAGCUCGGAGGCGCUAUUUAUAGCCGGCCCGAGGCGCUUGCCGUGAACGCGAUAAGUCCGGCGAGCGAUUACGGCGGCGCUGUGGCUGGAUGGUUGGUUUAGGGGCUUGAGCAUCAUCUAGACGGAGCACUGAUUCCAUCCCAGUGCCUAACUCAGCGAGGCAGGGGCGGUUACGGCCUGUCCCCGACGGAACGGCCGUACAUCACGUCGGCGGCAGAGAGCGCGCCCUGAGCGUGCCAGGCCACGGCGAGGAUGCUGCAGGCGUGCGCUCGCAAGGGAGACGGCCACACGGAGCUCCCAGGUGGCUUGGGUGGUGCCGAACGGCGUUAUGCCGCAGGAUGCCCCCUGUCGGCCGCCACGGGAGGUUCUACCGCCGCGAAAGAUGCCGGCGCAGGCGGGCCAGGGUGCCACCGAUGCCAGGAACGAGCCAAGUGCGCGUGCGGUGCUCCGGACAGGGAGGAGGAGCCGUGCGCAAUGCGCCAGGCGCACAGUUGACAUGUGACUGAACAUUGACGAAGAAACGACACCGAAACUCUGAAUUUUCUGAAGGUGCAUAGUAACAGUGCAGGCCAGGUGUUCGACAGAAUGAUUUUGGUAUGAGGGGAUUUUUCCUUGAGCUGGUUUUUGGUGGAGUGGUCUCUCAUUGCAACUGGGGUUUGUCUGAAUUUUGGUGGAAUUUUUGGAGAAGUGGAGAUAUGGAUUUCACCAAAUUUGACAAAUCUGGUCCAAACUUGCAGAGGGUGAAUUUUGAAAAUUUUGAAAAGAAGAAGAGUGGAUCUUGAUGGUUCUAGGUUGUGGGUGCUAGGGACUAUCCAGAGGAGUUGAUUUGGGACCAAAGUUCAAAGGCAUUAAGGUACUUGCUUUGCAAAUUACCUAGGCUCAAAAUAAAGGACAUAAUUGUUUUGGGGAAAGAAAUAAAUGAGAUAAAAUCCAAAAAUGGAUUUAACUAGUUGGGACAGAAUGCUUGGGUUGUCCCAAAGUGGAAGGAGGGGUUUUUGGGAGAAUUUUACCACAAGAGGCAUGGUAAAAACAAGAAUGGGUCAAAACCAAAGAAUAGCCCAAAACCAAAAAGGUUUUCUUUUUUAGAAGAAACUAAAUCCAAGAAAAGCUUUUUGAGGAGGAAAACUCAGAAGAGAGGUUUUUAAGAAGGGUUUAAAUGACCUUCUUCAAACCAAGCAAGGCUCUUGCUGAAAACAAAAACAACAAAAUUUUUGGAGUGUCACAACCGGUGCUUGGGUACUGCCCUUACUUGGAUAAGCAUCCCACUUAUGAUUAACCCCUAUUGCAAGCGUCCGCAACUACAAAAGAAGUAUUAAGGUAAACCUAACCACAACAUUAAACAUAUGGAUCCAAAUCAGCCCCUAACGAAGCAACGCAUAAACUAGGGUUUAAGCUUCUGUCACUCUAGCAACCCAUCAUCUACUUAUUACUUCCCAAUGCCUUCCUCUAGGCCCAAAUAAUGAUGAAGUGUCAUGUAGUCGACGUUCACAUAACACCACUAGAGGAAAAGAGAACAUACAUCUCAUCAAAAUAUCGAACGAAUACCAAAUUCACAUGACUACUAAUAGCAAGACUUCACUCAUGUCCUCAGGAACAAACAUAACUACUCACAAAGCAUAUUCAUGUUCAUAAUCAGAGGAGUAAUAAUAUGCAUAAAGGAUCUGAACAUAUGAUCUUCCACCAAGUAAACCAAUUAGCAUCAACUACAAGGAGUAAUCAACACUACUAGCAACCCACAUGUACCAAUUUGUGGUUUUGAUACAAGAUUGGAUACAAGAGAUGAACUAGAGUUUUGAGAGGAGAUGGUGAUGGUGAAGAUGUUGAUGUUGAUCGACCCCCUCCCGAUGAGAGGAUCAUUGGUGAUGAUGAUGGUGAUGAUUUCCCCCUCCCGGAGGGAAGUUUCCCCGACAGAACAGCUCUGCUGGAGCUCUAGAUUGGUUCCGCCAAGGUUCCGCCUCGUGGCGGCGGAGUUUCGUCCCGUAAGCUUGUCCAUGAUUUUUUCCAGGGUGAAAGCCCUCAUAUAGCAGAAUAUGGGCACCGGGGGGGCAUGAGGGGGCCCAGGAGACAGGGGGCGCGCCCAGCAGGGAUUGAUACGUCUCCAACGUAUCUAUAAUUUAUGAAGUAUUGAUGCUUUUAUAUUAUCCAUCUAUGAUGUUUUAUAUGAAUUUAUAUUUCAUUUUAUAUGAUUUUUGGGACUAACCUAUUAACCUAGAGCCCAGUGCCAGUUUCUUUUUCUCCUUGUUUUUGUGUUUUACAGAAAAGGGAUACCAAACGGAGUUCAAUUGACGUGCCAAUUUUUGAGGAUUUUUUAUGGACCAAAAGAAGACCACGGAGCAUCGGAGUUGGGCCAGAAGAGUCCCGGGCUGCCCACGAGAGUGGGGGGUGCCCCCCCUAGGGCACGCCCCCUAUCUUUUGGAUAGCCCGGGGACCCCCCCUGACGUGAAACCAACGCCAAAAAUUCCUAUAAAUACAGAAACCUUCGGGAAUUAACCUAGAUGAGAACUUCGACCGCCGCAAGCCACUGUAGCCACGAGAAAUCAAUAUAGGCCCUCUCCGGCACCCUGCCGGAGGGGGUCAUCAUCACCGAAGGCCAUGGAGGAGGAUCUUGGAGGGGCCCUCAUCGCCAUGAAGGCCAAGGACUAGAGGGGGAAAGCCAUGGAGGAGGAAGCACAAGGGGGAGAACCUCUCCUCCUCUCUCUUGGUGGCACCGGAGUGCCAUCGGGAGGGGAAUCAUCGCCGCGGUGAUCGUCUUCAUCAACAUCACCAUCAUCAUCACCAUCCUCAUCUCUUUUACACGGUCUACUCUCCCAAACCCCGCUGUAAUCCCUACUUGAACAUGGUGCUUUAUGCCACAUAUUAUGAUCCAAUGAUGUGUUGCCACCUUAUGAUGUUUUGAGUAGAUAUCUUUUGUCCUUGGGUUGAUUGAUGAUCUAGAUUGGUACGAGUUGUAUUUUUUAUUUUGGUGCUGUCCUAUGGUGCCCUCUGUGUCGCGCAAGCGUGAGGGACUCCCGCUGUAGGGUGUUGCAAUACGUUCAUGACUCGCUUAUAGUGGGUUGCGUGAGUGACUGAAACACAAACCCGAGUAAGGGGGUUGUUGCAUAUGGGAUAAAAGGGGACUUGAUGCUUUAAUGCUAUGGUUGGGUUUUACCUUAAUGAUCUUUAGUAGUUGCGGACGCUUGCUAGAGUUCCAAUCAUAAGUGCAUAUGAUCCAAGUAGAGAAAGUAUGUUAGCUUAUGCCUCGCCCUCAUAUGAAAUUGCAAUGACGACUAUCGAUCUUGUUAACAAUUGCUUAGGACAAUUGAGCACACCGAUCCACCAUUAUUCCACACUCGCUAUUUAUAAUAUUUAGUAUUACAUUCUAACUUUAUGAUAACAACACCUACUUUUAUAUUUUAGCUCUCCGAUAUCAUACAAAGUUAUCCUCUUCAUACCCACAACGUAGUUUUAUUUCUCGUUUCUAGUUGGAAGCAAACGUUCGGUGUACGUAGAGUCGUAUCAGUGGCAGAUAGGGCUUGAGAGAAUAUUGAUCUUACCUUUAGCUCCUUGUGGGUUCGACACUCCAUACUUAUCACUUCCACCUUUGGAAAUUGCACUACAAAAAAAAGACACAUCCGUGACAUUUUGGGCCGAAUGAUUUUUUUUUCUGGCAUACGUAUGACACUUCUAUGACGAUAAUUGUGACAAAACCCGGUAUCAUCAUAGAUGUGGUGGGCUCCUACUUCUAUGACAAAAAAUCAUGAUAGAAAAUGGGCUUUUCGUCCUGGGCGGGCCGGAGACGCAGCUGCAUGACAUUCUUUGGACCGUCCAUGACGGAAAACACUGUGGUAGAAGCGAGGGGGAGGGAAAUUUCAGGGAGUUGCCGGUUACGGUCGGAGGUCGGGGGCCGAGCGAUGUGCGUUUCUCUCAUACACGUACGCGCGUGUGUGCGAGGCGUUGGCUCUAACUGAACCCGAGCGAGGCGUUGGGCUCUAACUGAACCCGAGCGAUUGCACUGCAGGCUAUGCGUUACUGAACCCGAGCGAUCGAUCGAUGGCUGUUAACUGAACCCGAUGGAGUGAUUCCUUCGCUACUGCUGCUNNNNNNNNNNNNNNNNNNNNNNNNNNNNNNNNNNNNNNNNNNNNNNNNNNNNNNNNNNNNNNNNNNNNNNNNNNNNNNNNNNNNNNNNNNNNNNNNNNNNNNNNNNNNNNNNNNNNNNNNNNNNNNNNNNNNNNNNNNNNNNNNNNNNNNNNNNNNNNNNNNNNNNNNNNNNNNNNNNNNNNNNNNNNNNNNNNNNNNNNNNNNNNNNNNNNNNNNNNNNNNNNNNNNNNNNNNNNNNNNNNNNNNNNNNNNNNNNNNNNNNNNNNNNNNNNNNNNNNNNNNNNNNNNNNNNNNNNNNNNNNNNNNNNNNNNNNNNNNNNNNNNNNNNNNNNNNNNNNNNNNNNNNNNNNNNNNNNNNNNNNNNNNNNNNNNNNNNNNNNNNNNNNNNNNNNNNNNNNNNNNNNNNNAACACAAGUCCGUUUCGUCUGUUUUGCGGUACGCCACACCCCUCCCGAUCAACAGGACCCCCGUUUCGAUCGUAGGAGGUCCGUUUCCUCCGUUUUGCGGUACGCCACACCCAUCCCGAUCAGCAGGACCCCGUUUCGACCGUAGGAGGUCCAUUUCCUCCAUUUUGCGGUACGCCACACCCCUCUCGAUCAACAGGACCCCGUUCCGAAUGUAGGAGGUAUGUUUCAUCCGUUGUGCGGUACGCCAGGCCUCGUUUCCAUCGCAUGUUCCGUCCAAGCCCUCCCAAUGAACACGACCACGCAUUCCGUUCCGACCCAGCCGGUUGGCUCCCCAUGAACACGAUGACGACGCUCUUUCUCCGUUCCGACCCAGCCAUGUACGUAUGCGCGAGUAGGCGUUCGAGACCCUGCCCGUAUGUACGUACGUGUCCGUAUUUUCUUUCUUACACCCUCGCCGCUGUACAUACAUGUACAUGUGAUGUCUACUACACAACCUUCUUCUUGUAUACAUUGUUGGGCCUGCAAGUGCACAGGUUUGUAGGACAGUAGCAAAUUUCCCUCAAGUGGAUGACCUAAGGUUUAUCAAUCCGUAGGAGGCGUAGGAUGAAGAUGGUCUCUCUCAAGCAACCCUGCAACCAAAUAACAAAGAGUCUCUUGUGUCCCCAACACACCCAAUACAAUGGUAAAUUGUAUAGGUGCACUAGUUCGGCGAAGAGAUGGUGAUACAAGUGCAAAAUAGAUAGUAGAUAUAGGUAUUUGUAAUCUGAAAAUAUAAAAACAGCAAGGUAACAAGUGGUAAAAGUGAGCGUAAACGGUAUUGAAAUGAUAGGAAACAAGGCCUAGGGUUCAUACUUUCACUAGUGCAAGUUCUCUCAACAAUAACAACAUAGAGAGAUCAUAUAACAUUCCCUCAACAUGCAACAAAGAGUCACUUCGAAGCCACUAAUAGCGGAGAACAAACAUAGAGAUUAUGGUAGGGUACGAAACCACCUCAAAGUUAUUCUUUCGGAUCGAUCUAUAAAAGAGUUCGUACUAGAAUAACACCUUAAGACACAAAUCAACCAAAACCCUAAUGUCACCUAGAUACUCCAUUGUCACCUCAAGUAUCCGUGGGCAUGAUUAUACGAUAUGCAUCACACAAUCUCAGAUUCAUCCAACCAACAUAAAAGUACUUCAAAGAGUGCCCCAAAGUCUCUACCGGAGGGUCAAGAACGUGUGCCAACCCCUAUGCAUAGGUUCCCAAUGUCACGAAACCCGCAAGUUGAUCACCAAAACAUACAUCAAGUGGAUCAAUAGAAUAACCCAUUGUCACCACGGUUAUCCCACGCAAGACAUACAUCAAGUGUUCUCAUAAAAGACUCAAUCCGAUAAGAUAACUUCAGAGGGGAAACUCAAUUCAUCACAAGAGAUUAGAGGGGGAGAAACAUCAUAAGAUCCAACUACAAUAGCAAAGCUCAGGAUACAUCAAGAUCGUGCCAUAGAGGGAACACGAGAGAGAACACGAGAGAGAUAGAUCAAACACAUAGCUACUAGUACAUACCCUCAGCCCCGAGGGUGAACUACUCCCUCCUCGUCAUGGAUACCGUCUGGGAUGAUGAAGAUGGCCACCGGUGAUGGGUUCCCCCUCCGGCUGGGUGCCGGAACGGGCUCGCGAGAGGUUUUUGGUGGCUAUAGAGGCUUGCGGCGGCGGAACUCCCGAUCUAUCUUCUGUUCUGGAAGUUUUAGGGUACGCAGGUAUAUAUGGGUGAAAGGAGUAUGUCGGUGGAGCUACGGGGGCCCCACGAGGCAGGGGCGCGCCCUAGGGGGGUGGGUGCACCCCCACCCUCGUGAGCACCUCCCGUAUCUUCUAACGUGGGGUCCAAGUCCAUCAGGUGGGUUUCCUUCCAAAAAUAAGUUCUCCAGUUGAUUUCGUUCCGUUUUGACUCCGUCUGAUAUUCCUUUUCCUCAAAACACUGAAAUAGGCAUAAAACAACAAAUCUGGGCUGGGCCUCCGGUUAAUAGGUUAGUCCCAAAAAUAAUAUAAAAGUGGAUAAUAAAGCCCAAUAUUGCCUAAAACAGUAGAUAAUAUAUCAUGGAGCAAUCAAAAAUUAUAGAUACGUUGGAGAUGUAUCAGGCAUCCCCAAGCUUAAUUCCUGCUCGUCCUCGAGUAGGUAAAUGAUAAAAAAAGAAUUUUUGAUGCGGAGUGAUACUUUGGCAUAAUUCAAUGUAAAUCUUCUUAAUUGUGAUAUGAAUAUUCAGAUCCGAAAGAUUCAAGACAAAAGUUCAUAUUGACAUAAAAAUAAUAAUAUUUCAAGCAUACUAAUCAAACCAAUCAUGUCUUCUCAAAAUAGCAUGGCUAAAGAAAGUUAUCCCUACAAAAUCAUAUAGUCUGGUUGUUGCUCUAUCUUCAUCACACAAAGUAUUUAAUCAUGCAUAACCCCGAUGACAAGCCAAGCAAUUGUUUCAUACUUUAAUAAUCUCAAACUCUUUCAACUUUCAUGCAAUACAUGAGCGUGAGCCAUGGACAUAGCACUAUAUGUGGAAUAGAAUGGUGGUUGUGGAGAAGUCUCAAACUCUUUCAACUUUCAUGCAAUACAUGAGCGUGAGCCAUGGACAUAGCACUAUAUGUGGAAUAGAAUGGUGGUUGUGGAGAAGACAAAAAAAAGGAGAAGAUAGUCUCACAUCAACUAGGCGUAUCAACGGGCUAUGGAGAUGCCCAUUAAUAGAUAUCAAUGUGAGUGAGUAGGGAUUGCCAUGCAACGGAUGCACUAGAGCUAUAAAUAUAUGAAAGCUCAACAAAAGAAACUAAGUGGGUGUGCAUCCAACUUGCCUGCUCAUGAAGACCUAGGGCACUUUUGAGGAAGCCCAUCAUUGGAAUAUACAAGCCAAGUUCUAUAGUGAAAAAUUCCCACUAGUAUAUGAAAGUGACAACAUAUGAGACUCUCUAUCAUGAAGAUCACGGUGCUACUUUGAAGCACAAGUGUGGUAAAAGGAUAGUAGCAUUGCCCCUUCUCUCUUUUUCUCUCAUUUUUUUCUUUUUUUUCUUUGGGCCUUUUCUCUUUUUAUGGCCUCUUUUUUUCUUUCUUUUUUUAUUUUUUUCGUCCGGUGUCUCAUCCCGACUUAUGGGGGAAUCAUUGUCUCCAUCAUCCUUUCCUCACUGGGACAAUGCUCUAAUAAUGAUGAUCAUCACACUUUUAUUUUUCUUACAACUCAACAAUUACAACUCGAUAUUAGAACAAAAUAUGACUCUAUAUGAAUGCCUCCGGCGGUGUACCGGGAUAUGCAAUGAAUCAAGAGCGACAUGUAUGAAAAUUAUGAAGGUGGCCUUGCCACAAAUACAAUGUCAACUACAUGUUCUUGCAAAAACCAAUAUGACAUAAGUAAUGUGUGUCAUAUGAACGGAACGGUGGAAAGUUGCAUGGCAAUAUAUCUCGGAAUGACUAUGGUAAUGGCAUAAUAGGUAGGUAUGGUGGCUGUUUUGAGGAAGGUAUAUGGUGUGUGUAUGAUACCGGCGAAAAGGUGCGCGGUAUAUGAGAGGCUAGCAAUAAUGGAAGGGUGAAAGGGUGCGUAUAAUCCAUGGAAUCAACAUUAAUCAAAAGAACUCAUGCACUUGUUGCAAAAAUUUAGAAGUCAUCAAAAACCAAAGCACUACGCGCAUGCUCCUAGGGGGAUAGAUUGGUAGGAAAAGACCAUCGCUCGUCCCCGACCGCCACUCAUAAGGAAGACAAUCAAUAAAUAAAAUUGUGCUCCAACUUCAUCACAAAGCGGUUCACCAUACGUGCAUGCUACGGGAAUCACAAACUUCAACACAAGCAUUCUUUAAAUUCAUAAUCACCCAACUAGCAUCACUUUGAUAGUAUCACCUCCAUAUCUCAAAACAAUUAUCAAGCAUCAAACUUAUCUUAGUAUUCAACGCACUCAAAAGAAAGUUUCACAUAUCUUGAAUACCAAGUAUAUUAAUAUUAAGAAAAUUACCAUGCUAUGAACGACUCUCAAAAUAAUCUAAGUGGAGCAUGAGAGAUCAAUAGCUUCUUUAAAACAAAUCUACCACCAUGCUCUAAAAGAUCCAAGUGAAGCACUAGAGCAAAAAUUAUCACGCUCAAAAGAUAUAAGUGAAGCACUAUGAGCAAUAACAAAAACUACUCCAAAAGAUAUAAGUGAAGAUCAAUGAGUAGUCGAAUAAUUAUGAAACUAUGUGAAGACUCUCCCAAUUAAUAAUUUCAGAUCUUGAUACUUUAUUCAAACAGCAAGCAAAGCUAAAGAAAACUACAUUGCAAGGAUAGCACAACUCAUGUGAAGAAGCAAAGACUUAGGCUCAACCGAUACUAACCGAUAGUUGUUGAAGAAGAAAGGUGGGAUGCCUACCGGGGCAUCCCCAAGCUUAGAUGCUUGAGACUUCUUGAAAUAUUAUCUUGGGGUGCCUUGGGCAUCCCCAAGCUUGAACUUUUGUGUCUCCUUAAUUCCUCUCAUAUCAUGGUUUCUCUUCUUAUCAAAAGCUUCAUUCACAACAAACUCAACAAGAACUCGUGAGAUAGGUUAGUAUAAACCAAUACAAGACCUUAUCAUUUUCUACUUUAAAAAAUAAUUAAAAUAAUUAUUCAACAUUGCAUACUAAAUGCAUCUUCAUAUUUAAUAUUCCUAUCAUCAAAUAGAAUCAUUAAACAAGCAAACAUAUGCAAACAAUGCAAACAUAACAGCAAUAUGCCAAAACAGUACAGUCUGUAAAGAAUGCAAGAGUAUCAAUACUUCCCUAACUCCAAAAAUUAUGAAUUAAAAUUCCCACUGUAAUACAUUUAUCAUAGCUCAAUAUGCAAAAAUAUUCAACGUUAUACCAUUCUCCGACUUUUCUAGGGAAUUUUUGCAACAGCGGUAAACUUUCUGUUUUCAAACAGCAACAUGUAUACAAGCAAAAUAAGCAUCAUAGAGGCUAUCCUUGACCUUUUUUAUUGAACCUAAAGAUGCAAAACAUUAUUCUAACUAACAGAAAGAAAAAACUAACAAAAUAAAAUGACGCCCCAAGCAAAACACAUAUCAUGUGGUGAAUAAAAAUAUAGCUCCAAGUAAAGUUACCGAUGAACGAAGACGAAAGAGGGGAUGCCUUCCGGGGCAUCCCCAAGCUUAGGCUCUUGGUUGUCCUUGAAUACUACCUUGGGAUGCCUUGGGCAUCCCCAAGCUUAGUCUCUUGCCACUCCUUAAUUCUAUAGUCCAUCAAAUCUUUACGCAAAACUUGAAAACUCCACAACACAAAACUCAACAGAAAACUCGUAAGCUCCGUUAGUAUAAGAAAAUAAAACAACCACUUAGGUACUAUAAUGAACUCAUUCUAAAUUCAUAUUGGUGUAAUAUAUACUGUAUUCUAACUUCUCUAUGGUUCAUACCCUCUGAUACUACUCAUAGAUUCAUCAAAAUAAGCAAACAACACAUAGAAAACAGAAUCUGUCAAGAACAGAACAGUCUAUAGUAAUAUAUAUCAAACGUAUACUUAUGGAACUCCAAAAAUCCUACGAAAUUAGGAAGUCCUAAGAAAUUUGUGUACCAAUCCAGAGCAAAACGCAUCAGAUCAGCAUCACGUUUCUGUGAAUUAACAAAACUAAUUUACUGGGUGCAAAAGUUUCAGAUUUUCAGCAGGAUCAACACAACUAUCACCGUAAGCUAUCCUAAAGGUCUUACUUGACACUUUAUUGAAACAAAAGCUAUAAAACAUGAUUACUACAGUAGAAUAAUCAUGUGGACACACAAAAACAGUAAGGAUAAAUAUUGGGUUGUCUCCCAACAAGAGCUUUUCUUUAAUGCCUUUCUAGCUAGGCAUGAUGAUAACAAUGAUGCUCACAAAAAAGAUAAGAAUUGAAACAUAACGGGAGCAUCAUGAAGCAUAUGACUAGCACAUUUAAGUCUAACCCACUUCCUAUGCAUAGGGAUUUUGUGAGCAAACAACUUAUGGGAACAAGAAUCAACUUGCAUAGGAAGGUAAAACAAGCAUAACUUCAAGAUUUUAAGCACAUAGAGAGGAAACUUGAUAUUAUUGCAAUUCCUACAAGCAUAUAUUCCUCCCUCAUAAUAAAUUUCAGUAGCAUCAUGAAUGAAUUCAACAAUAUAACCAACACCUAAAGCAUUCUUUUCAUGAUCUAUUUGCAUAGAAAAUUUUCUACUCUCCACAUGAGCAAAAUUCUUCUCAUCAAUAGUAGUUGGAACAAACUCAACAAAAUAACUAUCAUAUGAUUGAAAAUUAAGAUCAAGAUGACAAGUUUCAUGGUUAUCCUUAUUCCUUAAAGCAUACGUGUCAUCACAAUAAUCAUCAUAGAUAGGAGGCAUGCUUUCAUCAUAGUAAAUCUGCUCAUCAAAGCUUGGGGGACAAAAAAUAUCAUCUUCAUCAAACAUAGCUUCCCCAAGCUUGUGGCUUUGUAUAUCAUUAGCAUCAUGGAUAUUCAAGGAAUUCAUACUAACAACAUUGCAAUCAUGCUCAUCAUUCACAUAUUUCAUGCCAAGAAUUCUAUGUAAUUCUUCUUCUAGUACUUGAGCACAAUUUUCCUUUCCAUCAUACUCACGAAAGAUAUUAAAAAGAUGAAGCGUAUGAGACAAACUCAAUUCCAUUUUUUUGUAGUUUUAUUUUAUAAACUAGACUAGUGAUAAAACAAGAAACAAAAAGAUUCGAUUGCAAGAUCUAAAGAUAUACCUUCAAGCGCUAACCUCCCCGGCAACGGCGCCAGAAAAGAGCUUGAUGUCUACUACACAACCUUCUUCUUGUAGACGUUGUUGGGAUGCAACUACACAGGUUUGUAGGACAGUAGCAAAUUUCCCUCAAGUGGGUGACCUAAGGUUUAUCAAUCCGUAGGAGGCAUAGGAUGAAGAUGGUCUCUCUCAAGCAAGCCUGCAACCAAAUAACAAAGAGUCUCUUGUGUCCCCAACACACCCAAUACAAUGGUAAAUUGUAUAGGUUCACUAGUUCGGCGAAGAGAUGGUGAUACAAUUGCAAAAUAGAUAGUAGAUAUAGGUAUUUGUAAUCUGAAAAUAUAAAAACAGCAAGGUAACAAGUGGUAAAAGUGAGCAUAAACGGUAUUGAAAUGAUAGGAAACAAGGCCUAGGGUUCAUACUUUCACUAGUGCAAGUUCUCUCAACAAUAAUAACAUAGAUAGAUCAUAUAACAAUCCCUCAACAUGCAACAAAGAGUCACUCUGAAGCCACUAAUAGCGGAGAACAAACGUAGAGAUUAUGGAAGGGUACGAAACCACCUCAAAGUUAUUCUUUCAGAUCGAUCUAUAAAACAGUUUGUACUAGAAUAACACCUUAAGACACAAAUCAACCAAAACCCUAAUGUCACCUAGAUACUCCAUUGUCACCUCAAGUAUCCGUGGGCAUGAUUAUACGAUAUGCAUCACACAAUCUCAGAUUCAUCCAACCAACAUAAAAGUACUUCAAAGAGUGCCCCAAAGUCUCCACCGGAGAGUCAAGAACGUGUGCCAACUCCUAUGCAUAGGUUCCCAAUGUCACGAAACUCGCAAGUUGAUCACCAAAACAUACAUCAAGUGGAUCAAUAGAAUAACCCAUUGUCACCACGGUUAUCCCACGCAAGACAUACAUCAAGUGUUCUCAUAAAAGACUCAAUCCGAUAAGAUAACUUCAAAGGGGAAACUCAAUUCAUCACAAAAGAUUAGAGAGGGAGAAACAUCAUAAGAUCCAACUACAAUAGCAAAGCUCAGGAUACAUCAAGAUCGUGCCAUAGAGGGAAAACGAGAGAGAACACGAGAGAGAGAGAGAUCAAACACAUAGCUACUGGUACAUACCCUUGGCCCCGAGGGUGAACUACUCCCUCCUCGUCAUGGAUAGCGCUGGGAUGAUGAAGAUGGCCACCGGUGAUGGGUUCCCCCUCCGACGGGGUGCCGGAACGGGCUCCCGAGAGGUUUUUGGUGGCUACAGAGGCUUGCGGCGGUCGAACUCCCGAUCUAUCUUCUGUUCUGGAAGUUUUAGGGUAUGUAGGUAUAUAUGGGUGAAAGGAGUACGUCGGUGGAGCUACGGGGGCCCCACGAGGCAGGGGGCGCGCCCUAGGGGGGUGGGCGCGCCCCCACCCUCGUGAGCACCUCCCGUAUCUUCUGACGUGGGGUCCAAGUCCAUCAGGUGAGUUUCCUUCCAAAAAUAACUUCUCCAGUUGAUUUCGUUCUGUUUUGACUUCGUCUGAUAUUCCUUUUGCUCGAAACACUGAAAUAGGCAUAAAACAGCAAAUCUGGGCUGGGCCUUCGGUUAAUAGGUUAGUCCCAAAAAUAAUAUAAAAGUGGAUAAUAAAGCUCAAUAUUGCCCAAAACAGUAGAUAAUAUAGCAUGGAGCAAUCAAAAAUUAUAGAUACGUUGGAGACGUAUCAACAUGCUACGUGCGCGCCUCUACUACGACACGUGCGCGCCUCUACAUCGACUAGUAUGUACGUACACGUUCGCGACCAGAAUGACAACGCUACAUACGCUUCGGCCAGGUGGGUCCCGACUGUCAGGCACUUCCUUGCCUGCGAAGAUGUAGCUGGUGGGUCCCAGCAGUCAGGGGGGCGAAUCGUUUUUUUGCCCAGACGCACUUCCUUGCGUGCGAAGAUGUAGCUGGUGGGUCCUAGCAGUCAGGGGGGUGAAUCGUUUUUUUGCCUGGACGCACUCCCUUGUGUGCGAAGAUGUAGCUGGUGGGUCCCAGCAGUCAGGGGGGCGAAUCGUUUUUUUGGACGCACUUCCUUGCGUGCGAAGAUGUAGCUGGUGGGUCCCAGCUGACAGGGGGGAACAUUUUUUUCGCGAAAUACGGUGGCCUGUCCGGUGGGUCCCCACUGUCAGGUGGAGGAAUAAUUAUGCAUAAUAAGGAGGCACUUCCUUGCUGCGGCCGUGGACCCAGCUGUCGGCCUCUCCACGUACAGUCCACGUCCAAUGGAAGCCAUUCCUUGACCACAUUGACCACGCCGCGUCGAGAGCACCAGGGCGGUGGACAACGGCGAGGCCUAGGAAGGGGACGACACGGAGCCGGGGAAGACGCGGUAGUGGAUGCCCACGCGUAGAGGAGUAUGAGGGUUCACUCAUUCGGCUGUGGUGUGAGGCUGCCUUCGCUGUAGAAUAACAAGGGGUGUGGGUGCGUAGAGGGAUGGCGGGCCAACGGUGGGAGUAGUAGGGGGCGGUGAGGCCUCCGCGGCAUCACAGACGGCCACGGGCGGCAGGAGCAGGCGGCACGACCGGCGCUGCUUUGGGCGGCUGGAGCAAGAAGACCAGAGGUUGAAGAAGCACUACGGCCGUUGGAUUACAUCGUAAAGGUACUGGAGCUAGAAUCGUUCAUAUAUUGAGUAAAGUUGACAAAGACCUCCGUCCUAGUCAAUUUAGUAGGCCCACAAGUCAGCCUCCCACCAAGGUUGGUCCCAGCUAGCACGGGGUAUUCAUUUUUUAUGCGUAAUAAGGAGGAACUUCCGGUGGGUCCGAGCUGAUAGCGGGGGGAACGUUUUUUUCGUGAAAUACGGUGGCCCGUCCUGUGGGUCCCAGCAGUCAGGGGGAAACGUUUUUUUCGCGAAAUACUGGUGGCCAGUCCGGUGGGUCCCUGCUGUCAGGUGGAGGAAUAAUUAUUUUCCGUGUAAUAAGGAGGCACUUCCUUGCGGCUGCUGUGGACCCAGCCGUCAGCCUCUCCACGUAUGAUUUCUACUACACAACCUUCUUCUUGUAGACGUUGUUGGGCCUACAAGUGCACAGGUUUGUAGGACAGUAGCAAAUUUCCCUCAAGUGGAUGACCUAAGGUUUAUCAAUCCGUAGGAGGCAUAGGAUGAAGAUGGUCUCUCUCAAACAACCCUGCAACCAAAUAAAAAA